rnacentral:lncRNA from 1 species
GAAGUACAACCAGAGGAAGAACCGACAGGCCGGCCUCUCCUCUAAUCCUCCUUCGCUCUCCAUCUCGCUACUAUAUAGAUCUACUCUAGUUUAGAGAAGAGAGGAGAGCUCUCAUCUCUAAACCCUAGCUUUUGCUCUGUCUAUGAAUAAUGAAUAAUGAUCAAGGGGUGCCUCCUCUAGGGGCCAGGGGGUCUGGUUAUAUAGUCCCCUCAAGUGAACCUGGGCCGUCGGAUCAAACCGACAUUGAUCAAACCGACAUUGAUCCUUUAGGUCGGUGGAGAUCUCCCGAGAGAAAGAGUCCUGAUUGGGCUCCAAGUCAGGGCGGGCGCCCAGGGCAGGAGGGCGGGCGCCCUGCCUCUGGCCCCGUUCGGCCUCCGCUUCCUUCCCGUGGCUUCUGGAGUCUUCUAGAUGUAUGAUAAUUACACGGCACGUUAAUAUCUCUAUGUAAUCCCGACAUGUGGGCCUUUCUUCCAUAUUUCCAGAUAACCCCCUGCAGAAAUAGACAAACACCAAAACUCAUGGAAUUCUGUCAGAUAAAACCCUAAGUCUAGAUGUUGAUUUCAUUUGGAUCCUUUUCUUUGUUUAUUUGAUAAUUAAAUUUGAUACUUAAGGACCGUCAACAAACUCCCCCAAGCUUACCUCUUGCUCGUCCCUGAGCAAGGAUAGACUCAGCAAUGGAUCAGAAGUUGUUGCAAUAUCUUAAAAAUUUGACGGUACACAUGCUUUUAAAUAAGAUCUCAUCUCUGAGUUAGAGUAAACUGUCAAGAACUAAAACUUACUUACUUUAUCUUUCACCAUGGGACUUGUAACCAUCACUUCUGUCUUGAGUAGUUAAAGAUAGAACAGUCUAGCCAAGUGCCAUGUCUCUUAUUCUUGAUCAGCUAUAGCUCUAGAGUUUUUGCAGAUUUUCAAAUAAAACUCAGAGAUUCCUUGUAUGACUCUAUCUAGUCUCUCUUUUGUGGUAUUUCUAGAUCCUUACCAAGGCAGUGAUGGUAUAUGCCUUCUCUCAAAGUAUGUAGUAUUUGUGGUAUGAGGCAUAGUGAUAUUGCCUUCUCUCUCACCCUACUCUAAUAAGGUUUUGAUAUCUGGAGCUCAUAGGUGGGAGAUAAAGUAUACAUACUUACAAGACAUUUAUUGUAUAGUCAAACCAUGGACCAAAGAAACAAAUCAAUAAGCCAAAUCAAGAUGUGCAUGUGUGGCGAAUGAAUGGUGUAUGGUGAUGAUGGUGAUAACAAUGGUGGAAGUCUAAUUCUACUUUUGCUCUUUUGAGGGGAUACAUACCUUCCUUGCUUUUUUGAAACUUUAUGAGGAGAAUGAGAUGCUCUUCUUUUUCUUUCCUCUCAGGUGAGUAUCUUGUACCCCUAAUUCUACUGUCGGACACUUGUCCAUUUUUACCUCUCGUCUCACUUUUUCUUUCUUUCGAGGUUCCGGGCACAUGCCCCUUUUUAUUUCCUCGUUUAUUUUUUUUUCUUUUUUUUCAGAGCACUCAUCUCUUGAGAUAAUAUAGCAAGUGGUAGUAGCAAGAUAACUUGAGCAUUUAUUUCACAAGGGAAAACAAAAAUAUUUUUGGCUAUUCUCUCCUGGAUUAGGAGUAGAAUAUUUUUGGGUGGUUCUGGAGAUGGACAUGGCUGGAUAUAUGUGGAUGGUACUUCUGGAGUAGAAGUAGCAUAUAUGAGUGAACGUGCAAGUGAAUCUUGAUUUAACCACAUGACAAGCUCCUAAGGGUCUACACAGCUUGACCACACUCAAUGCUCAUAAGCAGUAAAUAGUAAAUGUGUGGCUCAAAGUCUAGCAAGCAUGUAUAUAUGGCUGUGGUAGGAAUUUAAACUUUCAUCAUACAGGAACUCAUCAUGCAAUAUUUUAAAGAUUUUUCAAAGAUAAAAUUCUCCAGAAUUCUAGCAUCUCUAGGAACAGAUAAAUAGCAGCUCAACCUUCCCAUAUCAUAUCCGUUAACAACUUAGAUUUCAGAUCAAGUUUUCAUCCCACAAGUUUAGAUCUAGAGCAAGCUUUAAAUUAUAACAGUUAUGUCUAAACUUGAGAGAGAACUUCAAAUUUGCAAAUUAGGCAGAGCAACUAUUCAUCAUUUCAUGCUAGAGUUUUAUUAUUAAGAUUCAGAUUAGCAUAGCCACUUUAUUUAUCUAUUAAGCACAUUAAGCAAAAGAUAUAUAUAUAAGCACAAAACCUUUAUUUGGUUUUUCAUAGUUUAUGUAUUUUAAUAUUCUAAUAUAAUAUAAGUAUAAAGAUAGGUAGAAAUACUUAGCGAGAUAAAUGAGGGUGCUCUCCCCCAAGCUGAAUUUUGACGUAAUUUCUCUUGAUGUAGCUAGCAGGUGGCAGAGGUGUAUUUGAAAGUCACCAGCAUUCUGACAGCGAUUAGAAUGUCCUCCGUCUGCUAGUCUUCUUGAUUCUUAAAUUCUGUGGAGCUCAAAUAGACAACAAAGCUUGUAGAACUAAUUAAGUGUUAGCAUAAAUAUCUAGCCUUCAUCAUGUUGAGCUUCCUCAAUAAAUAUUACUCCCUGUUUUUAUGUUUUAUUUUAUAAAGCAGAAAAGAAAUAUUUAUUUUAGUUUUAUGCCACCACAGUGAAGGUACUUAUGGGUUUUAUGCCACUCGUAUACGCACAUGGGGCUUAGUAUUUUUUAACAUUUUUAUUUUCUUCUCAAGAUAGCAUGAUUAACUAAUAAUCUACUUAAGGAAAGUAAAUAAUUAAAGGGGAAAGAGAAUGGAGAAAGGAUAAAUAUGGAUAACUACCGAUCUUACCUUUCGGCGAGGGUUCAAUGUUUUAAGUCUUCUUAACAAGACUUCUCACCGUGUUCAUUCUUCAGGUGCGUCAUUUGAUUCAGGUGCGGACCUUGACGUCUGCACCUCUUCGUUUGCCCAGCAGUUGGAAGUGCGGCGUUGGCAGUAUCCUGCUCAGUGUGUUUGUGCUCGUAGAUCCAGGUCCUUCACUUGGUAGAGUCUGAGAGUUAUAAAACUCCUCCGUGUUUUGCUCGAAGUGUACCUGCUCAUAGAGACAAGGCAGAGAUCAAGUGCAUGGGUCCUGUUGGUGAAAAACACCAACAGAACCUAAAGUGUAUUUGUUCUUCUCUAACCCUAAGCAUAGUGAGCAAGACAAAGUUGAUGGAUGAAAAGUUCAUGAGUGUAGCACUUAUAACAUUUGUCAUAUCAGAUCGCUCAACCUUAUGGAAAGAUAAUCUAUCUAUGUAUAUGUCUUUUCCUUUAUAUCUCUCAAUGAUUGAAUGUGUAACAUUUUAGCUCAUAUGAUUAGGAGUGUGGGAUCAUGGAGGUAGUACUAAGAACAAGGAUUAAAGGACUAAACAUGUUGAAUCAGUUGGGUUGGUUAAUCUAGAGUUGUAAAUCAUACAUGUUUGCCUCUUUUAUUUAUAUGAACGCCAGAACCAAAGAGAAGCUUAUAAAAGUGAUAGUCAAGUAUCUUAAGGUGUUACCUUACUUGAAGAGUGAUGGUGUAGUAUCACCUUGUGGAAGCUUUCCUUUCUUAGUGGUUGUGCAUCGUGUUUGUGGCACCCUCCAUGGAUUAUCUCUCUAUGAUGAAUGAGCUAUGUCCUUCUUGUGCAAAUUGUUAAACUUCAUGUGUCACUCACUUCGUCUCUGAUGUGAGUUUAUCUCAGGACUUCCCAAAUCGAUAUUGAAAUUUUUUCUGCAGGGGUUAGUCCGACAAAAAUAUACCAAUUCUACACAAGCAGUUUUUAGUUCAAUAACCGAACUAGACUCCAUGUCUAAUCAGAUUAAGGAAGGCUGUUUAACCUAAGCACCAUGCUUAAUUUAAAAGCCAAUAGAAGUAUGUGCAGUACUUCCAAACUAACACUUACUAGUAAAUAGACAAAGGUAACAUGACAACAUUUAUAGAGAUCCACUCAAGUGGAGAUGAAGUAGUGUGAUUAGUAUUUAACAAUUUGAGCAUGUCUUAAAGGUAGGGACAACCAACAUAGCAACAUGGCAAAGGAUGUUUUUAUGUAAAGUACUCCCCCAAGCUUGAAUUUUGCAGAAUUCAAGUUUGGAUGAAUUUAAUUUAGUGUUGCAUGAUGAUUGGUUGGACAUACCUUGUGCUUGUCAUUCAUCCGAUCUUCUUGCUCCAAUCCUGGAAAGGUUAGUGACAAGAAUACCCGAAGGAAUAUUUUUACAAUUAUCCUUAUAUGCUCAAUACACAAGGUAAUGUUGCAAAUAAUUAAAAACUCUUGUUACGAUCUGAUCAGUGCUUAUUUUAGGACACCAAGCUUGUCCUUGGGAAACCAUCAAUUUAUGUCGGCGAAGUGGUUUCCCUUCCAACGCUGACCUAAAUCAAGAUCAACUCAACGAGAUCUGCAAUAUUUAUUAUAGACAUAUGCAUCGACAACCGCCCUCUUAAAGUUUUUAUAAAUAGAAAGGAAGAGGGGGUUGGAGAUCUCAAAUGUGGUGAUGUUGGAGAGACCAAUAGAUUGGGAAGAUGUUGCAUAUGAGCAUGAAGUAAACAAAGUGGCUAUGAAAUAAAUUCCAUGCUCAUUAAUGUUAUCUUCGUCUCCAAUCUGAAUGUUCAGAGUUUCUCUUGGAUUGGUCUCACUUAUGUCCUCUUCUAUAGUUGGAUGAAUCCCAUCUUCAAAGGGAGUCAAGAGCUCACCAUUUGAAAUUGAACCAAAGUCAGAAUUCAUUAAGGCUUCUUCCUUAUCCAUCCAUUCUACACAUUCUAGCCAUUUGGAACUUGUGAUCAGGAAAGGGGAGCUGAUAGAAUUUUCUAUAUGGCUUAGCUCUCCUUCACUUGAUAUGUCAUCCUCAACUUCUUCAUAACAGGAACCAGGAAAUUCUCUAAGAGAACCAUUAUUGCGAGGAUUUGAAUUAUCCCUGCUUGAAGGUCUCUUAUGGAACCAGAAGUCUAAACCAUCAGCAUCUGAAAGAUUUAAGGUCGGAAUUCCUUCCUCCCUUGGAGAAUUUUGGGGUAUUGAUGGUUUAGGAUCGAUAGCUAAAGUUUGGAAUUGAAGUGGUUGUGAUCUGGCUAUCGAAACUUCUUCUUCUUGUCUAGGAACUGGUUCUGUCUCUUUUUCAGGGAUAUAAAAGCUAGGAGACUUUACACUUAAUAAAUCAAUCAAAUUCCAAGCUUCACUAGCAGGUAGGUGAUAGAAGGAUCCUCUAGAGGCUGUAUUCAAGGUUUGCUUGUUUUCCCCACUAAGGCCCUCAAAAAAGUGAAUUAGAAGAACUUCUUCUCAAAUAGAAAGCUUUGGGCCAGUGAGAGUAAGGUUAAUAAAGCGGUCCCAUGAUUUCCUAAGAGAUUCUUCUUCCAGUUGUCUAAAAGAAAUAAUCUCACGCCGAAGUUCCACCACUUUGGAGAUUGGAAAAUAUUUAUAAAGAAAACUACUAUAUAACUCCUUCCAGUCUCCAUGAACACUCCUUACUUUGACUUUGUACCAAUGUCUAGCUUUUCCUGUUAAAGAGAACGGAAAGAGCUUCCAUUUAAGGGUCUCAUCGGACAUGCCUUCUAUGCGAAGGAGGUCACAGACUCGAUAAAACUCUCUUAGGUGUGUGUAUGGGUUUUCUUCACCUUCUCCUGAGAAAGGUUGUUUUUGAACAAAUUCUAUGUAUUCGGGGUCUAUCUCAAAACUAGAUGCUAUAAUAGGCUGUAGUGGUUCGAGAUGUGUGCCCGUAGGUCUAUGAAAUUCAUAGAUAGACAUGUUUGAAUUCAUGAUAGACCAGAGAUUAAGGAUUAGAUAAGAAGAAAGAAUAGUAGAGAUGAGGCAAAGGAUAAAAGGAAAAGAAUAUAUAUUUUUUUUAUUUUUUUAGAAAAUGAUUAAGCUAGUUGGUAGUCAACUCAGCAACCAUUUCCCCGGCAACGGUGCCAAAAAUGCUUGUUGACACUUGCUAACACCACUUGAAUACUAGGUUGUCAUCCCCAGCGUGGCACUAGAGUGUACUAUGGUAUUUCUACGCACACAGAUAAUCCGCAAGCGCACGGAUACCGUUAUAGCUUUUACUCGGUUAAAGGUUUUAUCGUAUCCAUAGGGAAACGGGAGAACUGAUCUACGCUCUAACUUAACCAAGAUAGAUAGAUAAGUGUAAAUAGGAAAGAUGGUAGAAUCGAAUAAGAACAAUAUUAAAGGUAAGAUAACAGUGGGUGAUAAUAUGGGAACAGAGAAUAGAGCAACCUAGUAUAUGGGCAAUGGUAGCAGAAUAGAGAGGAUAACUAUGGUUUCUCUACUUCAAAGGGGUAUGUCUAUGUCUGGGACGAACCACGUGAUAAGAAUACACCACAAAGGAUGCUUAUCCAUAGGCCGAUAAACCCUACCCGUCCUGCUAACGAGAGGUGGACUACAGAGGACCAACGUAACUGUCACCUAUGCGGCCUACCACACGAUCCAGCUAGACAGGGGAUAUCCACAAGUAAUCUAGAUCUAAGCACCUCGCUUACACCUAUACUACAACUCUCACCUAUAGUGUCCUAUAGAUUAAAGUACUUAAAAGUGUUGUGAACCAGAACAUACAUGAUUAGUAAUUGCAUAAUGAAUUAGAAGUAGAUUACCAGAGUCAUCCCAUGAGCAAGCUUGAUUAGAGCUUGAUCAUGACGAAGUACAACCGGAGGAAGAACCGACAGGCCGGCCUCUCCUCUAAUCUUCCUUCGCUCUCCAUCUUGCUACUAUCUAGAUCUACUCUAGUUUAGAGAAGAGAGGAGGGCUCUCAUCUCUAAACCCUACCUUUUGCUCUGUCUAUGAAUAAUGAAUAAUGAUCAAGGGGUGCCUCCUCCAGGGGCCAGUUGGUCUGGUUAUAUAGUCCCCUCAAGUGAACCUGGGCCGUCGGAUCAAACCGACAUUGAUUGAACGGUUAUUCUUGAUCAUUUAGGUCGGUGGAGAUCUCCCGAGAGAAAGAGUCCUGAUUGGGCUCCAAGUCAGGGCGGGCGCCCAGGGCAGGAGGGCGGGCGCCCUGCCUCUGGCCCCGUUCGGCCUCAGCUUCCUUCCCGUGGCUUCUGGAGUCUUCUAGAUGUCUGAUAAUUGCGCGGCACGUUAAUAUCUCUAUGUAAUCCCGACAUGUGGGCCUUUCUUCCAUAUUUCCUGAUAACCCCCUGUAGAAAUAGACAAACACCAAAACUCAUGGAAUUCUGUCAGAUAAAACCCUAAGUCUAGAUGUUGAUUUCAUUUGGAUCCUUUUCUUCGUUUAUUUGAUAAUUAAAUUUGAUACUUAAGGACCGUCAACAUAUGCUAAAACUAUUAAAGCUCUACUUAUAUAUCUUUCGAGAAGAAGGCAAAUGCCUCAGUUUUAUUUUGAGAACUUACAAAAAAACUCCAGAACAAAGGUAAGACAGAAUAACUUGAAACAUAGUGCUUGACUUGAUCAUUCUGUUUUUCAAUCACUUAAGACCUUAUGAUAACUUAAAAACCCUCUAGGAAGAGGCAUACAAGUAACCACUGUUUUCUUGCUAAUUUUAGCUUUGAUCAGGGACGAGCAAAGGUUAAGCUUGGGGGAGCUUGUUGACAGUCCUUAAUCCUCACAUUUAACUGUCAACUAAUCAUAGAAAAGGAUCCAAAUGCAACCAACACCUAGACUUAGGGUUUUAUCUGACAGAAUUCCACGAGUUUUGGUGUUUGUCUAUUUCUGCAGGGGGUUAUCAGGAAAUAUGGAGGAAAGGCCCACACGUCGGGUUUACAUAGAGAUAUUAACGUGCCGUGCAAUUUUCUAUCAUCUAGAAGAGUCCAGAAGCACGGGAACAAACGGGAGGCCGAACGGGCCCGGGUGCAGGGCGCCCGCCCUCCCCCUUGGGCGCCCGCCCUGCUACAGUGCCCAAUGAGAGUCCUUUUCGCGGAUCGUGCUCCACCGACCUAAGGGAUCAAGGAAAACCGUGCGAUUAAUGUCGGUUUGAUCUGAUGGCCCAGAUUCAUCUGAAAAGACUAUAUAAGCAAGGCCGCCUGGCCCCUGGAGAUCAUACCUCUUCUACAGAAUCAAAGCUAGGGUUUCAAUUCUUCAUCCAAGUAGAGAGGAUCCCUCUAGUUCAUCUAGUUCUACCUCUAGUUCAUCUAGUUCUAGUUCUAGUUCAUCUAGUUCUAGUUCUAGUUCUAGUUCCUCUAGUUCUAGUUCUAGUUAGUUCUAGUUGUAAUCUAGAAAAUAGAGAGAGAGAAGAGGAGAGCGGAGGAGGAGGAGGAGCCGGAUCUGUCGGAUCUUCCUCAACAUUGUACUUUUGCGGCAACUGGUUCGUUCUUCAUCGUUCUCUAGGUUCUUCAGUUCAUAAUUCCUGAGUUCUUUAAUUACUUUUAUUUACAUUCAAGUUAUUUAUUAGAUUCCGGCUUGCAUCAAGUGGUCUAAUCUUUGCAACAUUAGAGUAGUAAUUAAUAGAUUAGACGUGGUGUUUAGUCUUGCAAUUACCUGAAAUUGCACCCAAUCCUGCGGAUUGUUGUGGUAGCCCUAGGAUAGUGACAGCCCUAACGGUCGACGUAUUCCACCUCGUUCGGAUCGGUGUUUGUAGGACCGUAGUGAGAGCUUCCUAGCCCCCUUCUCAUCUCUUUCUGUGGUUAGUGUUCUGAUGUCCCGAAAUAAAUAAUCUUUGAAGUAAUUCUUGAUUCUUAGAUCAACUAGAGAACUCUCAGGAAACUUCCUCUCGUCCCAACAAAAAUAAUUAUAUAGUUAUCCUUGGGCGAUCUUGAAUCUUAAUUAGUACACUCAUAUUCUCUGUGGAAAAUUGAUACUCUGGAAUACUUCUGAGUGAAAGCUACAUCGGUAUCCGUGAGCUUGCAGAUUUCUUUCUGUUUGCGUUUAAAAUAAUCAACAGACCACAGCUCAAUUACACUACAACUGAUAAAGAGCUUGUGGUUGUUGUCUUUGUUAUAGACAAGUUUAGAUCUUACUUAGUGGGGGCAAAGAUAAUCAUCUAUUCAGACCAUGCUGCUCUCAAGUACCUCCUCACUAAGAAAGAUGCUAAGCCUCGUCUAAUUCGAUGGAUUCUUCUACUCCAAGACUUUGACAUAGAAUUCCGAGAUAGGAAGGGAGUAGAGAAUUCCGUAGCCAACCACUUGUCUAGGCUUCAAUAUAAGGAAACACAUGAUGUGUCGAGGGUGUUCAUAAGGAGAGGAUCCGUACCCCAACCAAUGUUCAUAAGGAGAGGAUCCGUACGCAAAUCAAGGCCCUUGACUCGACGCCCCUGCUCACACGCGUGACUACCAAAACACGAUGCCAACCAUAGCCUCAAACAUGGAAAAAGGGUCACGCAAAUCGGCAGAGGCUCGACCGGACAGCGACCGUCGAAUACGGAACUGGCUCAUACGAAUCGAUAGGCCUCGAGCGCAAGGACGCCGUCCGCCGCCUGACGCGGGUACGGGAACCAGGGCAUUUAAUGCGCCUGCCGUGUUCUCACCUAACCCGACAGCCAUGGGAAGCAUGAUAGGGAGCGAGCACCCGUCCAAUCCCCCCUUUUUUGCAGCUUUAUCCCUUCAGAAGAGCUAGGGUACGGCCGAGUACUGCGAGACAGUCGUGAUGUCGCUUCACAACCCCCCUCAAGACAUCCAAAGUCAGCGCAUCGAUCAGCGAGGCCAUGCGCAAUGCCGGACCGUCGAGCGAACACGUUCCUUCCCAAAGAAGAAUCAGGCGGUGAAAGACAACACCUCAACCACUCCAGACAUGACUCCUGUCACGACGUACAGGCGUGCCCACGGUUGAGCCAAUCCAGGACAGCGCACGGGAGCCAAAUUCGGAAGCACGCGUAAUCAUCACCAAAGUACUGAGUAACAAGAUGGCUCGAGGCCACACCGGUAUGGAAGCCACGAGCAGGUCAGCGCACCACGCCCCUAUCGACCCCUACUCUAUAACCUACGCCAUGUAACCUAGGCCUCCCCUUGGAACUAUAAAAGCGGAGACAUAGGAAAGGAUGGGGGGACGACAUACCUAGAAGAACAACUAUACAUCGCCUCCAUCUAGAACUCAGAAUCCAUCACAACACCGACUUGUAUUAGCCCCUAUACAAGCACUGAGGUGCAAGACAAUAGAAACGUCUCCCCCCACUGGACGUAGGGACUUCUGUUGCCCGAACUAGGAUAAAUCUUUGUGUCUUUCUCACAUCACCAUCUGGGAAAGGGAACACACACACAAGUUUUACUCAUUGGUGUGACCCCCCAGGGGUAAAACACCGACAGUUGGCGCGCUAGCUAGGAGUCCAGCGUGUUUUUUCACCAACUUCCCAUCUCUUUCCAGAUGGCCACUCUCGUUUCACCAAUCCCGCGUUCCACGGUGAUUUGGUUCGGGAGCCUCGAGUUCAUGUCUACUGGUUUCGGCUACGAAAUGAUCCUGCUCUCAGUCGAGGGAUCGGGACGAGCUCGCAUUGCACCCGCACGAUCGAAGGCCCCAAGAUAGCCUCGCCACCAUGCCUCCCUGCCUAAGAAGAGGCGUGGACAGCACCGCCACCUCCCCUCUCCUACUUCACGGUCGUCAGCUCGUGCUAGACGAACGGAGGUGCAGAAGCCGACAGCCCGGCGCGCUGAAGCCGCGGAUACGGCGGCCCGACGUCACGAUGGCCGCGCGGCGACGUUGGGUGACGACGCGCCUCGCGUGCUUCUGCCCUCGAUGAUGCUACUACCGCACGGGUUGUUCGCCCCUAGAAGAACGCACCCGUUCGGUCUGGACAACGCCGCGACGUCGCUCGCUAGGACGAUAUGUCCGAACGCCUAGACGUACGUGGAGCGACCAAUGGUCCUUCCUCACGACGCCGGAGCACAGCAGCAAGCAGCUGAACUGCCGAACUUCUCCCAGGUGUGAGGCCUCCGACGCCUAGGACCUGGGUGGUACACAAUCACCUCACUCAGGCAGCGGCUGGUGGAAGAAGGACGCGAAUGUUUCUACACUGCCGAGACGGAUCCCGACUUUGAAUCCGACAGCUACGACCCUACGAGGGAAUGCUUCAACAUCGACGGGGAGGUGGAGACCACAGACGACACACAAGAUGCCGUCGCCGGCGGCCGAGCCCCUGUAGCAAGAGAGGACCCUAGGACACCUGGGAACAACGGUCAGGUCGACCCUCUACCUCAGGAAGACAAAGCCGUGCAACUUGCGCAGCUACGGGAGCUCAAGGCAAAGCUUGACGAGGAUCGCGAGCGCCUCACCUAGCUCGAGCGGGCCCUCGAGCAGGACCAACCAUACCCGCGUGGAGGAGGCGCACGCGGAUGACCUCGAGAGGUAAACUGACAGAUCGUCAGAGACGGGGAGCCAGAACAACCCAUCGGCCUUUUCCCUCGAGCAGGCCAGAACGUCGUGGCAGCGACCAUGCUACUACGUAACAUGCCUGAACCCUCAAACUCUCAAGCAUGGCGCGUUCGGGAUGAGGUGCAAACUCUACUUCAAGUGGCGGCAGCUCAGCAAGCCGAGAGCUCGACCUCUCGACGUCGAGGAGCAGCCUCAGAGAAACAUGUUGAGCUGGUCCGAAACAAAAAGGAAGUGUCAGUCCAUCAGCAACCACCCCCUCGAGGAAGGAAAACGGCGUCUGUCCAACACCACCUCGUCGAUAAUCAACGGCGACACGACGCACGACACGACAUCAACGAGUAUCGUCGCCGUCGACACGGGGAUGCAGAGGAGCGUGGCUACAGUGCCCACCGCGGCGAACGAUACAACAGCGACGAGGACCGGAUGGCCCCAGAACCACCAGGCCCUCGCGUGUUCAGCAGAGCGAUCUGCAGCACGCCGCUGCCCAGCCCGUUCCGACCCCCGACCAGAAUCGCUAAAUACAACGGCGACACCAAGCCAGAACUGUGGCUGGCAGACUUCCGGCUAGCAUGUCAGUUGGGAGGCGCUCGAGGAGACGAUCGAGCCAUCAUCCAUCAGUUACCACUUUUUCUCUCCGACACCGCCCGCAGAUGGCUCGAGGAACCCGCAGAUGGCUCGAGGAACUCCCUGCCAACCAGAUCCAUGACUAGACUGAUUUGGUCAGGGUGUUCGAGGGCAACUUCAAAGGGACGUAUAUAUGACCCGGUAACUCAUGGGACCUUAGCAAGUGCAAGUAGAAAUCUGGAGAGACUCCCCGAGAGCACCACCUACAGAGACCUAGUGCGAGAGUUGGGUCGAAAUCACCCUCAGACCGUCGAUGAGCUAAUGGACGUGGUGGCAAACUAUGCUGCGGGAGAGGAAGCAGUAGGUGCUUUCUUCAGCCAUGAAGGAAGCAAAGGCAAGGCACCAGCGGAUGAUGAUGGGGGCCCCAGUCGAGGGCCUAAAAAAGCAAGAAGAAGAAGAAAGCGUGACCGUUCAAAUGGGAGACACUCGACGACGAUUUGGUCACCGCCGUGGAGCGUAAAAAGCCUCGAGGGCCCCCAGAGGGAGCCAUCUUCGACAAGUUGCUAAAGGAACCCUGCCCUUAUCACAAGAGUGUAGCAAACCACAAGCUUGAAGACUGUUGCACGCUGAAAAAAUACUUCGAUGGCCUGGGGCUUAAGAAGGACGACCAAAGGAAAGGCAAGAGCGACGACAAGGGGGAAAACAAAGAAGACGAGGGUUUCCUAACCGUCCACGACUGCUACAUGAUCUACGGUGUCCUCUCGACACAGCUAACUGCAAGGCAGCACAAGAGGGAACGCCGUGAGGUCUUUGCGGCAAUGAUGGCGGUGCCCCAGUACCUCAACUGGUCGAGCACCCCCAUCACCUUCAAUCGUGAUGACCAUCCAGACAGGGUGGUCGCUCCCGGCGUCUACCCGCCCGUCGUCGACCCCAUCAUCGUCAACACAAGACUCUCUAAGGUACUGAUGGAUGGUGGCAGCAGCCUAAACAUCAUUUACCUCGAGACCCUUGACCUCCUCGGCAUCGAAAGAGUGCAGCUCCAACCAAGCGUGGGCGGCUUCCAUGGUGUCGUACCAGGGAAAAAAGCAUUGUUGGUAGGACGAAUCGACCUACCGUUCUGUUUCGGCAUGGCGACCAACUUCAGGAAGGAGGUUCUCACCUUUGAAGUGGUGGGAUUUCGCGGCACAUACCACUCAAUCAUCGGACGUCCGGGCUACGCCAAGUUCAUGGCUAUCCCCAAUUACACCUACCUGAAGCUCAAGAUGCCCGGGCCAAAGGGGGUCAUCACCGUCAGCUCCUCCUAGAAAAGGAAACAAAGGAAUUUGGAUCAUAAAAAUAAGCAAAUAUUCACAAAUCUUAAAGACCACUCAAGCCACAGUGUUUACUUAAGAUAGGUAAUAACUACUUUACAAUGGGUCUUAACACCCACAAUAGGCUCGUACGGCCUCAGUCCGCGUCUCGGCCCUCGCCACCAUCGUCUGUGCCUCGGCUAGUCUCGGGAGGAAGUACCUCCGGCACGAACAGCUUCGCCAGCCUUUCGCCAGGGACCUCUGCGUCGUCGAUCAAGGCGUGGAGCCUCGCCUCAUUCUCAGCAUCGGUCUUGGAAAUAUCAGUGACGAAGCCGUGGGACACCACCUCCAUAUCGUAGGAGAAGCCUGAGCAGACAACCGCCAUCGCUCGCUUCACCCCGAUAUGAAGGACGUCCCGCACCCGAUCCCUCAGCAUGGCACCUAAGUAGCACAGCUGGUCGACCAGCGCAUCGCCUCGGGCCACCUCCCUCGUCUCAUCCAUAGGCUUGAGCUCCCAGGAGGCCGAAAGGUCGCUUAUCACAGUCCUUAGUCGAUCGUUCAAAGCAACCUCCCCCUCGAGCUGAGCCCGAGUAGAACGGGCGUCUGCCUGGGCAGCCAGGAGAUCAUCCUUAAGCCCUACAAAGACCGACACAGGGGAGUUAGGCAGCACAAAAAAUACCUUGCAAAAGGAAACACGAAAGUGUAAAGAAACCUACCAAGAAUCCUCUCUUCCAGAGCCGUAUUCUCACCAAGUAAAUCGGUGUUGGCCCUCUCGAUCCCCCUGUAGGAGCGGGCCAGGUCGGUGUUGGUGGCCCGUAAGUCUUCGAUCAUCUUACCCGCCUGUGAGAUAGCUCCCUCUUUCUCUAACAGUGCUCUCCUCAGACAAUCGACGUCGUUAGAGAGCCCGCGAGAGCGAGCUCGCUCCGCCUCGAGAUCCUCAUGGGCCUUCUUCCCGGCCUCCUCUACGGCGCUUCGAGCGAUUUCGUUCUUCACGCACUCUUCCUUUACCUCUCGAUAGGCCUCCCUGGCGGAGGCAAGGUCCGCCUUAGCAAGGCUCUUCUCUUUGUCGAGCUCGGCGGCCGCAUCCUUGUAAAACGCAGCCUCUUCCCGGGCCUUGGACGCAGUUUCCUCGGCCGAUACGGUCCGCUCCCUCAGUUGCACGGCUUCUUUUAUCGCCUUCUCUGAGGCCUCCUGAGCCUCGGCCAAGGCAGCCUCCCUCUCCUUCUUCUCCUCUGCAGCCGCCAGGAGAUCCUUGUAUGCCUGGACGAGCUUCUCCUAUGACUUGAGGAGCUGAUCCUUAAGAAGAAGGAGUUGUUCCCAACAUCCUCUCGUCGCAUGGAUAAAACCCGACUUUAGGCGGGAGGUCUCCUUCAGAUCCUACGGCAAGUAGCCGAUCGAUGAGAAUACGAGACCAAACACCCAGAUAGCUAAGGGCCGAAAAUACUUAGAAAGAAAGCUCAACCAAGCCCGUUGUCGACAAUGUCCGACAUUAGGCCCACCACAUGCUUCAUCCAAAGCUGGAGCUCCUCGAGAUGCUCCCACUUCUCGGCUUCCUUCCGGUCAUCCAUAAAGAUGUUGGGCUCCGAUGGAUCGGUGGAGGCUCGAAGACGGAUCCGAACGGGGCCCCAGUUCUCCAUCUCCUCCUCCGUGCGUGCCUUGACGCCCCAGAUAAGCUCCUAAAUGGUCUCGAGCGAGCCUCCGUGGUGCAAAAAUAUGUCGAUGAGAGAGGGAAACCACCCGUCGUCGUCCACCGACCCCCAGGUCCCGGCCUCAUUGGCGUCGCCACCGCCGGAAGUGCCGGCGUCGUCCCCCUCCUCGGCGCUGGGUUCCUCCCACGGCCGCUGAUCUCGAAGGAACCCCGGGGCGAUCCCAUCCAUACCAUAGAGGGAGCCUUUGAUCUCGGAUUGAGGGUCCAACGGCGUGCGCAUCGCACACGCAAUAGCCACGACGCCGUCCUCCCACCCAGGUUCGGCCGGGAUGGAGGCUGGCCCCCCUGGAUGGAGCCACGCAGGGGUCGGCAGACCUUAGAACGGCAGUCCCUCCUCUCUAGUCUCAGGCCUUUGCGGCGAUGGCAGUACUGGCUGAGGCGGGCUUCGUGGUGGCUGUUCGAGCAGCUCUUCCAGCUACUGUUGAUGCAAAAGUGGAUCUGCAAACACAAAGGGCUAAUGCCCGAUUCAAACGUUAAGGCGUGCCAGCCGAUUUGACCUUACUAUCGGGAAAGGUGAUAACUCGAAUACUUUGGUCCCGACAACAGCGAUGCGACCGAAUGCCACGGCCAAGAGGUAUUCUCGCGGAACUCGAGAAUACGCCGAGCUUAAGUCAACGAACUCCUAAGAACUCGUAAUGAAAAAGGAAAAUAUGACAAAGUCGUCGAAAAAGUACAUGCUGGAAUAUGAGUAAAAACUUGUGUUUGAUUGAUUAAUUGAUCUAUUAUUACUAGGCCCCCGGGUCUACAUUUAUACCCUGCUCAAAGAGCCACAAUCAGACACGACUAGGAUUUGAAUUCCAAAUUAAACAGAAUCCGUAUACAAAACGAUCUAAAUAACUAAGGAAAACAUAAAACUAUCCUCCUGUGACAAACUGGGACACCACCAUAGACCAAUCGGCAACUUUCAGGUUCUCCUUCCGAAUCAUCGGCAGACUCCUCAUCGUAGCCAUCAGCAAAGGUUAAUGCUGACCAUCGGCAUAAACACGUCACCACCCAUGGACUUAGUCACAUUCAGCUGUCCCUUCAUCGGUAACCACCCUCAUCGGCAACUCUCCUGCAGACCAGUUACUGUUGCCCUAUUUUGUCGAUCUACACUCUACCGAUCCUGGGUGCGUGUCCAAAAACGGUGUCAAAACAUGCCCCCCAAAUUCAGAGUAUGAAAUCAUUAAUGCUCCAAAAUUCUCUGCAGUAAUGAUGCCUUUCCACAAUUAAUUCUCCCAAUUUGGCAACCGACAGCUUAAAUCUGAACAACCUUGGCCCGAUUCUUCCGCAGAUUCCUCGAAUUCCUCAACCUCCCAAACAGACAUCUCCACUUUAUUCGUCCAUCGACAAUAUUAUCGUUAGAAGGAACUGCCGAUGGACCGACCAAGAGAUCUUGCACAGUGAAAUAUCUCCAAAAUCAUGACCGCUUGCUGUCAAUCGCCUGCACAACCCCUUGAUUACUGUGCGAACAGUUACCAUAUCUACCUAAGCACCCUCGGGUUUCGCGGAUGCGGCAAAGAGAUAAGUCAGAUCUGCCUUUGCCCGUUUUGUCCUAUAAAUACCUCCUUCUCGGGUACUCCUUCUUCAUCUGUCAUUCUACAGCCCCAAAAUCCACUUCCUUGGCGGCGGCACUUUUCGAGGACUCCAAGAACUCUAGCAAGAACUUCUUCCAACAAUCCUCGAGUCUUCGAUCUUCUCUCCUGCGAGGAAAUGGCCAUCAACUUCGUCGUGCCUGAGGUCAGUCCUACUUCUCUCCUGUUUUUAUUGCACCCCUGUUCAUCCGCAGUUCAUCUUACUGAAUAUUUUUUCUUUCUUUUUUAUCUUUUGCUCUUCUUUUUACACCCAAAAACUUCUAGGAUCUGUCCAAUAGAAUCGCCAUCCCCACCGAUCAACCACACCUCCAAUGUCUCGGUCCGCUAGGGAACCCAGAUCCUACCGAUCUGAUCAAUGCAGAAACAAACAGAAUCCCCUUUAGAGCUGAGAAUUUUUCUAUAGAUCUGUGGAAAGAUGCCUUCCACUCUUGGCCCAGUCCUACCAAGGGAUGGAAGGAUUGGUUUUUGAGAGUCAGCCACUCGAAUGAAGUUCAAUGGGGUGAGUGAAAACUGGAUCAAUGCAUUAGACUGUCUCUUGCCGAUAUGCAUAGGAAUGAAUCACUGCUGAUUGCUGCAUCAUAUUUCUGGUCAGACACACUCAAUGCUUUUGUUUUCGGUCAUGGCCCUGCUUCUCCCACUCUUGCCAAUGUGCUCAUGCUCACCGGCUUAGAUGUAUCCACUGCCGAUAAUAGCCACAUAUUUGACACCGCACCUAGUGCUAAAGUCGAAACUCGCUCUAUCGGCUGUUGGUCUGGGUACAUUCAGAAGUACCGUAGAACAGGGCCCGUCAACAUAAAGGAACAAACCACCUUCCUGAACAUGUGGCUGGACAAAUUCGUAUUCUGUGGUCGAUCGGCAGGACCAACCUCUAUCUACCUAUCGGCAACAGAGAGAUUAGCUAAUGGUGGCCAAUUCCCCCUCAGCCGAUACCUGCUUGGCUCUGCCUAUCAUCUUCUCCACCAAGUAGCCAAGAAACUUCUACUCGGUGAACCCAUCGGCAACUUAGGGGGCCCUUGGUGGUUCAUCAACAUGUGGCUUAGCCUCCAUAUGCAUAAGCGACUGGAAUUCGACCUCUUUGCACAGCGUUUCCCUAGGGUUAUAGCAGAGGAUCAUGAGUUAGAUGAAGAAGAAUCGGCAACCCGUCCUCCCUUAAACUAUGGCGAAGCCGUCAUAGCUUUGCCUGGUACUGGAGGCAAUAGAGAUCAAGUCAGCCGAUUCUUUCAGACUUUUUAUGAGGGCCUGACCAAAGAACAGCGAGCAUGGAUGCCCUAUGAAGAUCCAGAUACAAGAUUCCCUCUGACCUUUCACCCCUUCGAUGAUGCUCUCAAUAAAGAUCAUGAUGUGAUGAUGGCACUUGUCACUCCAAGAGCUAUACCAAUAAACUUCUUUGGCAGUGGGAAAGCCUCCAACCAGACCUAUGAAUUUUACAACCCAUCGGCACUAGCUCGCCAGCUAGCUUUCGGUCAGCUGCCGAUCGCACUCUGUUAUGCCGAUGUAAUAAAACCCAGGGAAACCAUCACUAGUCUUCUUGAGUGGACCAGAAUAGCUCAACUGCCACCAAAUGCCGACAUAGAUGCCGAUCUAUCAGAUUGGAUCCCGGCCCUCUUCAUUACUUAGGCAUACAAACAAUGGUGGGAAGAAUGGAAAGAGCACCUGUUCUGCAGAUCGGCUCUUACAUACCGUGGCAUGAUCGACCCUCAAUACAAAGUUCCUGACAACACUGUAAGUAUUUUAAACCGAUGUUUCAAUCCUUUCAUUUUUACUUUCAUCGGUAACUCAUUUUCUGGGUUAUAUUGCAGGUCGACAACACACCCCCAUCGGUCAGCAGGAGUGGCAAGCCGAUUGAGCUCUUCCCAUCGGGUCCGAUUUCUUCAAUCGGCAACAACUCCCCAUCCUUGGCCGCUAUAAUGCAUCGGGGUGUACGUCUCAAGAAAGUCACCACCAAGCGGACAAAGGUAUUUCCAUUGGUAGUUGCUUCUACCCUAGCACAAGCUUUCAAGGUAAAUUUUUUUAAUUCUUCCACCCAUACCGAUUCUGUUUUUACACUGUUACACUUGCACUCACGAAUUUUUAUUGUUGUAUCAGCAAACCAGCACAUCGGUAAAGACCAGAGGUAUGACUGCCGAUGCCCCCCAGUCCAGCCAACCAAAGAGGAAAAGCUCCAAGAGUACCAGAACCCAGGCGAAGCGCCAGAGAAUAGCAACACCUUCUCCUCCCCCAGUGUCUCCAAUUCCAGUGGAAUCUUCUCCUUCCUCUCCUGAAGUCCAGAUAUAACAAGCACCAUCUCAUCCUCAGCCACAAGAAGAACCUCACGCAGAAGAACCCGAGCCAGAGGAACCUCAGCCAGAAGAUACAUCGGCUGACGUGCACGAGCAAAUUGCCGAUCCAGCAAGUUCAAUCACAGCAUCGGUAGUUUCCUCAAUCCAAACAAGUACAGCUCCCACUCAAGGUACCGUACUUUCUAUGAAAUCAUUGCCGAUGAACCUACUUUUCCAUCUUAUAAUUAUCUCUAUCACACUUUCAGCUGACAUAAUCUCAUCGGCAAUUUCAGCCGAUCAACCCGUAGUUCCAUCGGCAUCAUCCAGUCAGAGGCGAGAGAUAGCUCUGAAACAAGUAAGUUACCUGAUCUCUACCUGUACUGUUUACCAAUGCCUGAUCAUAGAAUAACUUAUUUUAUUUUCUUUUUUAGGAACAAGACUCUCCUGAUAGCUUGCUCUCCUUUGCCAUCGACAUCUCUGAAGAUGAAGGCGAGGAGGCAAGUUCCUCUCGAGCAGUUAGAAUCACAUCGGCAGAAAUCAGGGUGAAGUUAGAAGAAUUAUCAGCCCUCCUUCAUCAAGACACGGCCCAAUUGGUUGAUGACUCUGAUCCAGCCAAGGCUUUGUUCAAGACCCUCGGAGGCCAAAUUCCUACCUAUGCCGAGGAGAUCCUUUUCAAAGCUGCUCACUUAGAAAGUCGGCAGCUUCAAUAUCAAAGAGCCGCUCGGCGCCUAGCCGAUAGAGCUAAUCACGCCCAGCUCUCAGAAGAGAUGAUAAAAGUGAAUCUCCUCACCGAUGAAAAGCACAAGAGUAUCGGCAUCUUGAAAUCCUCAGGAGAUGCGCUGAAGCAUAAGAUCUCUGAUCUAUCGGCAAAGAGAGAAGCCCUGUUGGCAGAACUCAAGCAGGUAGAAGAAGCUUUGUCCCAAGCUGAACAAGAAGAAAGCCAGCUGCCUGAGGCGAUCAAACUUCUCGAACAAGAGCGAAAUGUCGAAGCUCACAAAGCACUGCAGAUGAAGAAGAACCUGAAGCCAGUGGAGGGCUCUGCCGAUGAUGACAUGAAAGAGAUAGAAGAAGCCAACCAGAUCCGUCUGCGCGCCAUAUCGACGAUCCAGGCUUUGUUAAACAUGUGAAUUCUCCAUCAGCGGCAUAUUUGCUCUUUUCUUUUAAACACUUCUGAUAUUUUGGUCUAGCUGAUAGGACUGUUAUCGGCACCUUUUAAAACAUUAAGUCCAGCCUCAGACACAGUUUAAUCCAGCCGAUAGGAAUGUUAUCGGCACUUAAACUUUUAUGCAUCGACCCAUAUGCUGGGGUAAUAUUUCUUUAGAUAUUUGCCGUUUAAUGCUCUGGGAAAUUCAACUCCUUCGAGAGUUUCUAAGAUAUAGGCAUUGCCAGGAGCAGAUCGAUUUAUCCGAUAGGGACCCUCCCAAUUGGGAGACCACUUCCCAAAUUUUGAACUUUCAGUCCCAAUCGGUAAGACUAGCUUCCACACUAAUUCUCCGUCGGCAAACUCUUUAGCCUUCACCUUCUUAUCAUACCAUCUGGCAACUCUCUUCUUAUUCUCUUCUAUACUCAUCAAAGCCCUUAGCCGAUGCCCGGCUAGAUCAUCGAAGUAGCAUAAUCAUCGGUAGCCAAUUGAUUUUGAAAAGAUAGUCGCCUAGACCCAGUCUUAAUUUCCCAAUGUAACACUGCAUCAUGCCCAUACACCAACUGAUAAGGUGAAACCUUGGUCGAUCCAUGACAAGCCAUCUGAUACGACCACAAUGCUUCAUUUAACAACGUGUGCCACCUCCUAGGAUUUUCUUCAAUCUUCUGCUUAAUAAGCUUGAUAAUUCCUUUGUUAGAUGCCUCGGCCUGCCCAUUAGCAUGAACAUAAUAAGGAGAAGAGUUUAAUACUUUAAUUCCCAUACUGAUUGCAAACUCAUCAAACUCCCCUGAUGUGAACAUAGUACCCUGAUCGGUAUUAAUUGUUUGAGGAAUCCCAAAUCGGUAAAUAAUAUGCUCUUUCACGAAAUCAAUCAUAUUGGCUGAUGUAACUUCCUUCAAAGGAAUAGCUUCAACCCACUUAGUGAAAUAAUCAGUGGCAACCAAGAUGAAUUUGUGUCCUUUGCUUGAUGGCGGGUAAAUUUGGCCGAUUAGAUCAAUAGCCCAUCCCCGAAACGGCCAAGGUUUAAUAAUGAGAUUCAUGGCUGAUGCGAGUGCCCUUUGAACAUUGCCAAACUUCUGACAUCCUUGACACCCUUUGAAAUACUCAAAACAAUCUUCAAGUAUAGUUGGCCAAUAAUACCCAUUUCUUCUGAUCAUUCACUUCAUCUUAAAUGCCGACUGAUGUGCUCCACACACUCCUUCAUGGAUUUCCCCCAUUAAACUCCUAGCCUCAUCAUCACCUAAGCAUUUGAGAAGAAUUCCAUCAAUUAUUCGAUAAUAUAAUUCAUCUUCGAGGAGCACAUACUUGGUAGCCUGAAACCGAACACGUCUUUCAACUUUCUUGGAUGGAUCUUUUAAAUAAUCAAUGAUUUCUUUUCUCCAAUCGUCGGCACCGAUUGCCGAUAUUGCGUUUAACAUGGGCUGAUAUCCCGAGGCAUGCUGAACCAACCGAUUGGCCUCUUCAUUACGCAAUCGAGGAACAUGUUCUAACCGGAAAUAUUUGAAUUCCUUUAAUAAUUGCAUGCUCCUUUCAUGAUAAGUUAUCAGGACUUCGCUUCGGCAUUCAUAGCUUCCAGCCAAUUGAUUUAUAACCAGCAUAGAAUCCCCGAAGAUUUCAACAGCAUCAUCAUGAACUUCCCUUAGUAAUUCCAACCCCUUUAUCAAAGCUUGAUACUCAGCCUGAUUAUUUGUUGAUGUGGCCACAAUCGGCAAGGAAAACUCAUACUUCUUUCCCCGAGGGGAAAUUAGCACUAUGCCGAUUCCUGCCCCCCGGUCGCAUGUGGAUCCAUCAAAGAAGACCGUCCAAGGUACAAUUUCCAAAGUCUCCACUGCCCCACAAUGUUGAGUCACAAAAUCGGCCAUAAUUUGCCCUUUAACCGCCUUAGCCGAUUCGUAACGUAGAUCGAAUUCCGACAGUGCCAAAAUCCACUUACCAAUUCUACCACUCAUGAUCGGCAUAGAUAGCAUGUAUCGGACUACGUCAUCUUUGCAAAUAACAGUGCAUUCGGCCGACAGCAAAUAAUGUCUUAACUUAAUGCAGGAGAAAUAAAGAGACAAACAUAACUUUUCAACGGCCGAAUACCUGGUCUCAGCAUCAACCAAACUCCUGCUUAAAUAGUAAAUCACACGUUCCUUCCCUUCAAAUUCCUGAAUUAAAGCCGAACCGAUGACCAUCCCAACGGUAGACAAAUACAACCUGAAGGGCUUCCCUUGCUGAGGUGGAAUCAGAACGGGAGGAUUCACCAAAUAAUUCUUGAUUUCAUCUAAGGCCGACUCCUGCUCCUCCCCCCAGAUAAACUCUUGAUCAGCCUUCAACUUAAGUAAAGGACUGAAAGCACGAAUUUUACUAGACAAAUUAGAUAUAAACCUCCUGAUAAAGUUUACCUUGCCGAUCAAGGAUUGGAGCUCAGUCUUGUUAGUAGGAGCAACUAUUUUGUUAAUAGCAUCAAUGGAUCUCCGACUAAUUUCAAUCCCUCUUUGAUGCACCAUGAAACCAAGAAAUUGUCCUACCGAUACCCCAAAUGCACAUUUAUUGGGAUUCAUCUUCAAACCAUGCUUCCUUGUGCAUUCUAACACCUUUCGCAAAUCGGCAAGAUGUUUUGUGAAGUCUCCAGACUUAACCACCACAUCAUCAAUAUAAAUCUCCACCAGCUUGCCGAUGAACUCAUGAAAUAUAAAAUUCAUAGCCCUCUGAUAAGUAGCACCAGCAUUUUUCAAGCCAAAGGUCAUGACUAUCCAUUCAAACAACCCAACAUGACCAGGACAUCUAAAUGCAGUCUUUGGAAUAUCCUCUUCAGCCAUGAAUAUCUGAUUAUAUCCUGCAUUACCAUCCAUAAAGCUGAUGAUCCGAUGUCCAGCUGCAGCAUCAACUAGUAGAUCGGCAACUGGCAUUGGGUAGCCAUCCAUCGGCGUAGCUUUAUUAAUAUUUCUGAAAUCAAUGCAAACCCGAAGCUUCCCAUUUUUCUUGUAAACCGGAACAACAUUGGAAAUCCACUCGGCAUACUGACACUGCCGAAUAAAUUUAGCUUCAAUAAGUUUGGUUAUUUCGGCCUUAAUAUCAGGAAGAAUAUUAGGAUUACAUCAGCGAGCUGGCUGUUGAUGUGGCCGAAAUCCAGACUUGAUAGGCAGCCGAUGUUCAACAAUCGAUCGGUCCAAACCAGGCAUCUCAGUAUAAUCCCAAGCAAAGCAAUCUUUAUAUUCUAUUAACAAAUCAGUUAAUUGCUGCUUACACUCAGAAUUUAACUUAGCACUAAUAAAAGUAGGUCUAGGCUUAUCACCACUACCUAUAUCUACUUCUACCAAAUCAUCGGCCGAUGUGAAUCCCUGGCCCAAUUUUCCAUCAUCGGCGAACCUAUCCAUUAAAAACUUUCAUCAGAAUCGACUGCUUGGAUCGGUGGUAUUUCAUAAUCGGCAACUUUGAGAAAAUCCUUCUCCCAAAUUUCUCCCGAGAUACACCUAGUCCUCUCAUAGGUAUCUGCUUCUGCCGAUGCAAUGACGUAAGAAGAAUCCCCCGGGACAAUUUCAAUCUUGUCGCCUACCUAUUUGACCAAGCACUGGUGCAUUGUAGACGGGAUGCAACAAUUGGCAUGAAUCCAGUCUCUCCCCAGCAGCAAAUUAUAAGCACCUUUUCCACUGAUCAUGAAGAAAGUUGUCGGCAAGGUUUUACUGUCGAUGGUCAACUCGACGCAUAUUGCCCCCUUAACCGGAGACACGUUCCCCUCGAAGUCCUUCAACAUCAUAUCGGUCUUGGUCAAAUCUUGAUCCCCUUUUCCAAGCUUCCGAUAUACUGCAUACGGCAUGAUGUUGAUGGCGGCUCCACCAUCAAUUAAUAUUUUGGUCAUUGGCUGACCAUCAACCCUUCCUUUGACAAACAAGGCUUUAAGAUGCUGCCUUUCAUUGUCGGCAGGCUUUUCAAAGAUAGCCGUCAUCGGAUCCAGAGCCAUCUGAGCUAUCUGGUCGGAAAACUCCAACCCCUCAUCAUCGCUGGACGGCGCAAGGAAUUCCAUCGGCAACAUAAAUACCAUGUUGACAUCUGCCGAUGGCACUUUCCCCUUAGGAUCUGAUCGUUGCUGAUCCCCAGAUUGGCCAGAGUUCUCGCCCUUGCUUAGCUCUUCUUGUCUUUUGCGCUGCAGCCUUCUUUUCUGUGUUUUAGUCAACCCCUCAGGACACCAUGGAGGAAGUGGAGACUGCCUUGCCGAUGAACGACGAUAUUCCCUUGGUUCCAUCCGAUGAGUAUUAGCAUCCUUGCAAAAUAUGAACUCAAUGAGAACUCGGUCAUUAGCCAUCUCUUCAAGUUCUUCCUGGUUCCUCGGAAAAUAUUCAACACGAUCACCAAGCCUAUCAUGUACAGUGAGCCUGCCCCCCAGUCGAUCAUGAACUGACGCUCUCCCCCUGAUCGGCCCAUUAAACCGCCGAUCGUGAAAGCAUCGAUCGGACCUAUCAUAUCGAUCAUAACCAUUGCACUCAGGGCAAUCUCUAACAGUAGGUAACUUGAUGUUCUGCUCCCAGCAAUGGAUAAAGAAUGGGCAGUUCCAGUGAUCCUUGUGCCGAUUCCACUCCUGUCGGUGUCUUUCUUCUUCCCGAUGAUAGUCUUCUUGCUGGCGUCGAUACCGAUCCUCACGUUGCUGCCAGGUUUCCCGAGGCCUUCUAUGAGUCAUCACAAUACCAGAUCGAGGAGCCCUUCCUGAGUUAGUUCCCUCCUGGAUCAAGCCUUUUCCUUUUGCAUCGGCAGUGGUGAUCUGAUGCUGUGGAUGUACCGACGCACUUCUUUCAGCUGCUUCCGAUGUUAAGACUUUGGCCUUUCCCUUAGCGUCCAACAUAUUUGUUGGGAAAGGAUGUUGAUCAAUCUUCAUCGGCUUCUAAGUUUUGGAGCUGUCAAAUUUGAUCCUUCUAGAUUCUAUAGCCGAUUGUAGCUAUUGUCUAAAAACUUUGCACUCAUUGGUGCUGUGAGAGGUUGCAUUAUGCCACUUGCUGUAUUUCAUCUUCUUUAACUCUUCAGCCAAUGGAAUCACAUGAUUAGGCGACAACUUAAUCUGGCCUUCCUGAAGCAGAAAGUCAAAUAUCCUAUCGGCCUUGGUAAUAUCAAAUGCAAACUUCUCUGGUUCCUUAUGCCCGAAAGGGCAAGACAUCGGCUUCUUAUUCUUUACCCAUUCUGCCAAGCCGAUGACUGGUUCCUCGUUAGAAUCUGAGCUUGCUACCUCAUCAACGAAUGACACCAUCUUGUUCCAAGCCCUCUUAGGUUCAAAAGGCUUAACAUCCUGGUCGGAAAUCCUCUGGACCAUGUGACUCAGGCUCUCGAAUUCUUGAGAAGCAUAUUUAUCCCUGAUAUGUGGCAGUAAACCCUGGAAAGCCAAAUCGGCUAGCUGCCGAUCAUCUAGAACCAGACUAUAGCAUUUGUUCUUAACUUCCCGCAAUCUCUGCACGAAACCUUCAACCGAUUCAUCAUUACGCUGUUUCAAUCUGACCAAAUCGGUAAUUUUCUUCUCAUGAACUCCAGAAAAGAAGUAUUUGUGAAACUGCUUCUCCAGAUCGGCCCAAGUAAUCACUGAAUUAGGAGGCAAUGAUAUAAACCAAGUGAAAGCCGAUCCAGACAAUGAUGACGAAAACAGUCGAACCCUCAACUCAUCCCUGUUAGCAGCUUCUCCACAUUGGAUGAUAAACCUGUUGACAUGCUCCAUGGUUGACGUAUCAUCCUGUCCAGAAAAUUUAGUGAAAUCCGGCACCUUGUACCGAUUUGGAAGUGGAAUCAAAUCGUAUGCAAAAGGAUACGGUGUCCGAUAAGAGUAAGUGUUGACUUUGGGUUUUAUCCCAAAUUGGUCUCUCAUUACUUCGGCAAUCUUAUCGGCCCAAUAAGCAUCAGCAUCUUGCCGAUGAGGCGGUUGCGGAUCUGGCACCUGUUGAUACACAUCCACGUGUCCAUGCGGUACAUGAUCUGCAUGGAACAUUGGAUUAAUCAUUUGACCACCGAUCUGCUGACCACCAAUUUGUUGACCCCUAAUCUGCUGACCACCAAUUUGUUGAGCACCAAUCUGUUUUCCAAGAUUCAUCGGCUGGUUGACCAUCCCUUGAUUAUGGAACCUAGGUUGGAUCUGGCCCUGUUGAAAUCCUGUAGCCUGAUGAUUCUAUUGGGGCAUUCAUCGGCAUUGGCAUUCAUCGGCAUAGGUCCUACCGAUGACUAGUAAUUGGGCAUCAUCAUUGAAUUGACAUACCCUGGCUGAGUCAUAAACCUCUGUUGCGUCAGCAUUGAAUCUGCCGAUGCAUUAGGCAUCUGGAACGUUGGAGCUUGAGAAUUCCCAGUGUAAGGUUUGGCAGUAGUAGUUGUAGUAUACUGGGGACUCUGAUUCAUCGGCACAUUUGGAGGUGCCAAUGCCAUAGGAGCGUUGCCCCUCAUAUCAGCCGUUUGAGACAUACUAGGUGUCUUCAACAUGAACUCUGGGGGCAUACCAAAGCCCCACCAGUUAGGAGGAACAGAUCCCGACAUUGCUGAUGCCAAUAGGUCUGUAGUCAGCUUGAUCGACUCAUCUGAUGUUGAUGGAUUGGCCGGCAUUGGCGUGGAUUGCGCGCUAGUGACUCCUAACGUACUUGGAGGAACAACUGUUUAUGUGCCUGCAGCGGCUGUUGUAGCCGAUGGGGCUAUGACAACUGGUGAUCCUGGCUGAUGAUGAGAAGGACCAACAUAAUUUGGCGGUAAUUGCCCUUCCUUGAAAGUCCUAGCCACGACAUUGAAAACCGUAUUGGACAGCACACCAGCUUGAUUGAUCAUGGCGCGGUUAAUAGCACUAUCAACCAUGUCUUGAAGUUUACCAGGAUUGGCUUCCAAAGUAACCUGCCGAGGCAUCAACAUUGCUUCCUUCUGGAUCACCUCGCCACUCCUGUUUACGCUGAAGGAUUUCAAACAUUGUUGCUUGUAAUCCUCCAUAGCCUUUGCAAGAGCUUGCUUCUGCUCAUCUCUGAGAUUGGCUUCUGUCACAGGGAUGACAUUCUCCAAAUUGAAAUCGCUAGUCGCCAUGUCGAUCUCGGUCUUGAAUCUUGUCUCACUAGGCGUGCCAAAAGUUGUGUUGAUGCAAAAGUGGAUCUGCAAACACAAAGGGCUAAUACCCGAUUCAAACGUUAAGGCGUGCCAGCCGAUUUGACCUUACUAUCGGCAAAGGUGAUAACUCGAAUACUUUGGUCCCGACAACAGUGAUGCGCCCGGAUGCCACAGCCAAGAGGUAUUCACACGGAACUCGAGAAUACACUGAGCUUAAGUCGACGAACUCCUAAGAACUCAUAAUGAAAAAGGAAAAUAUGACGAAGUCGUCGAAAAAGUAGAUGCUGGAAUAUGAGUAAAAACUUGUGUUUGAUUGAUUGAUUGAUCUAUUAUUACAAGGCCCCCGGGUCUACAUUUAUACCCUACUCAAAGAGCCACAAUCAGACACGACUAGGAUUCGAAUUCCAAAUUAAACAGAAUCCGUAUACAAAACGAUCUAAAUAACUAAGGAAAACAUAAAACUAUCCUCCCGUGACAAACUGAGACACCACCAUAGACCAAUCGGCAACCUUCAGGUUCCCCUUCGGAAUCAUCGGCAGACUCCUCAUCGUAGCCAUCAGCAAAGGUUAAUGCUGACCAUCGGCAUAAACACGUCACCACCCAUGGACUUAGUCACAUUCAGCUGUCCCUUCAUCGGCAACCACCCUCAUCGGCAACUCUCCUGCAGACCAGUUACUGUUGCCCUAUUUUGCCGAUCUACACUCUACCGAUCCUGGGUACGUGUCCAAAAAUGGUGUCAACAGCUACUAACUCCACUAUUGCUGCUGCCUCAGAAGCUCUAGCAGCUCUUGCUGUCGGUGUUGCUCUAAUAGCUCCUCGAGCUGCUCUCCCUGUUGCCGCCACCUCUCUUCUUCCACUUCUUCUUCCCCACCCUUGCACUCUUCUUCUUUCUUCCUCCUCUCCUCGACGGAGUGAAGCCCGAUGGGCCAAGGCGUCCGUUUCGCUAUAGAAGAGGCCUCGACCUCUUUGUCCAUGGUGCGAGCAUCCUUCGAGAGCCAAUCGCCGCCGGAUCCAUCGCUGAUGGUGAUGGGAUCCCCCACGCCCCCAGAUCGGGGAGGCUCGGGGGCUCCCUCCUGCUCUUGAAGACGCCGUCUUGACCCGCCUUGGCGACGGCAGGGCGGUGUCAGAAACAAAACCCCCCUCCGACGGACAAGGCAGGGUUUUCUCAACACCCGUUGAUGGUCGAGGAUCGGAGGAACCUAUGUGCGCCCAAAGACGAUACGUCAAUCGCAAAGAAGCUCGAUGCAAGAAUCACCCAGCUCCAAUACUACUAAAAGGAGAAUAAAUCACUCACCCGAGCCUUUGGGAACCGCCCCCACCAUUAGCUUCUUGGCCAUCAAGGGUUGGGCCUGUUCUAGCUGCCGCUUCAACCUAAGGAAAUGGGAAUAACAUAAGAAAAGCCGUAACCCGAGAAUGCGCGAGACAUUAGAAAACAAGAAUCACGACGUAAAAAUAUGACCCCACGGGAAGAACAACCCGCCUGCUAGUACCUCGACCAACUGGCCUCGAGCCGCCCCGCGUCGAGACCCCAGGCCUCUCAUGGGUAGGCGCAGGCCUCGGCUCAGCGUCUCCCGUCUAGCGAACGCCGGGGCUAGAGCUCCCACGACCUACUUCCCCCUGACUUGAGGCCGCCAUGGCGGCGCGGCCACGGGUCAGUGGCCCCAUCGCCAUAGUCUUAACCCGGUGGCCCGCCCCAGACGCAGGAGGAGGUUGGGGCCGAGAAAUGGCCUGACCCUGCACUGGCAUAGGAGGGGUAUCGGCACGAGAACAGCGCGGUGAGGACUCCCUCUUUUGACCGUCGCGGGACCCGCUCAACACCCUCUUAGGGGCUCCCAUCCGCGAGACGUCGACGUCGGCUUGCGGUGGGCCCUCAAGGAUUUUGUCGAGGCAAGCCGCCAUCCCCUCCGAGUCGUCGCUAUCGUCAUCACCCUCGUUGCCGUCGUCUUCAUCAGGAGAUUCCUCCUCGGACUCCCCCUUCUGCCUCGACUUCGCGCAGCGUUUCUCGAGCACUUGUCGCUCGAGGUUCUUUUUCUUCUCCUUCUUCUUUUCUAAGUCCUUUGAGGACUUUUGUUUCUCCGCGGACUCACGUCUCCUAUCGCGAUCGACGUCGUCCUCCUUUACCGGAGGCCUCGAGGACCGAGCGUCGAUCGAGCCCUGUGAGGGCGGAAGUAAGUCCCGGAGAAAGUCAGGAAAAUCAAAAAUCGAGUAACGGCAAAGAAAGGCUUACCAAGUCGAUCGACCCCUCGUCAGGCUUCAUGGGGAAGCCGUUGACGCACCUAGGCUGAAAAUCGCCUGCGACGGCCGCCCUGACUCUCGCCUGCGACGGCCGCCCUGACUCUGGCAGCGACCUCGUCGUUCGCGGGCGCCUCGUUGGACAUCCGGCAUGCCUCGAGGUCGCGAGAUGAAAAGCCAGGACCCAUCUCGUCCAUCCUCAGCGCCCGAGACAUCAACGGAAGUACCCGUCAAUGGUGGACGGCCGAAAGGAUGAGCGCAGCGGUCAGACCUUCCUCACGUAGCUUCUUCAAGGCGUCAAGGAUGAGACGGAGCCACGACUGGAGGGUCUUGAUGACGCCGUAGUUCCAGUGGUCCGGACGCUUCGAGAUCAAGCGCCCGAUGUAGUCGGGGAAGAGGUUGUCGUCGUUUCGCAGAUAGAACCACUGGGAGUCCCACCCGGCAUGGUUCGACGUCAGCCCCACCAGAAUGUACUCUCGAGGCUCCUCCACCUUGCCGGUCUUUUGCACCAGGUUGAGGCAGCAGGCCCGCACCGGUUUCCUCACCCCUGUAGCCCCAUCGGGGGCAUGGAAGAGCUCGCCCCGGUACAGGUGAAGCCACAGAUCCCAGUGCGGCAUCAUCCCCAGAUAGCCUUCACAUACCGCGGCAAAAAUCGCCACGGCGGUGAUGGCGUUCGGCGAGAAAUGCUGGAGCUUCACACCGUAAUGGUGGCAGAGCGCCCGUAUGAAGCAGCUCGGAGGGGAACCGAGGCCGUGGUAGUGAAACUUGGCGAAGGAGACCACGUACCCGUUGGGCGGUCUAGGCUCCCGGUGGUCCACCGCCGGCGGGAUCCACUCCGGCCACGACGAGGAAACAUGGGGGCACAGGAGUCCCUCCUUCUCGAGCUCCAGCAGCCGGCGCUCCGUCAUCGACGAUAGGCACCAGUCAUCAGUGGCGAUAAGUCUCACCGGCAUUUUUUGGGAUGAAGGAAAGUGGCUCCGCUGCUAUGUGCUCGAGGGUGCGCGUGCGCGUGGAGACAGCAAAGGAAGCAAAGGCAAGAAUGAUGGUGGAAGGCAGAAGGAGUAAUGGCUGGGAGACCCAACAAUAUUUAUAGAUGGCCAACCUCCAACAGGCAGAUCCGGCGAAUACGGUAACCUCCGUUGUAAAUGCACCGCCUAACAGUCCUAAUUGCUCUCACUGAUAGGGCGCUACGAAUUCCAUGACCGCACAGUACCGCAAUGGCUCCCACCUAAAAAGGCGCGCCAAACGGGUAGGAAAAUGAACCGCCAUGGCCGUUCCUUCCCCUGCAAGAUAAGGUACGCAUGUGUCACGAUAAAAAUCUUGAGGGAUCGCAGACUGGCCCGCUGAACGGGUUCGACGGUCGACCUCGAGUACCAGAGUCGGGGAUGCCCAGCAAGGGGUCGAAAACGAGGCUGCCUCGAAAACCCGCUGGGGAUGUCCAAGGAAAGGGCAAGAGGGUCGAGAGGAAUCCCCAUGAAGGGAGGCAGUGAGCCGCUGGAGUCUUUCGAACGAGACCAGUAACCCCAACCGCGUUGACCCCGCUUUAUGAGAACACCUCCGGGCUACAGCUGACCCCCUCGAACAGGGCGUAGGUUCUCACUUGGAUUACCCAAUAGACACUCAACCUGGGGUAGGUGACGCUCGCUCCGCCGGGAGUACGUCACGACUUCGAUACAAAACCAGCCAAUUGAGGCUCAAAGCCCCUGUUCCAUGGAGAACGACUUUCAGAGAAGGGGAAGAUCGAGAGCGCUUCCAUUAGAAAGAGCAACAUAACCCUCGAAGGAGUCAAAGACACCUCCAAGGGCUCGGGGGCUACCCCCGCGGGGAUCGCUUGUGCGACCCCAUGGAAACUCAACCGACGAAAGAGCCUCCACUCGAGCGCAAGCGCUCGAGUAGAGAUUCGGGGAAUACUGUCAAGGGUGUCAAUAAGGGGUACCCCAACCGAUGUUCAUAAGGAGAGGAUCCGUACGCAAAUCAAGACCUUUGACUCGACGCCCCCGCUCGCACGCGCGACUACCAAAACACGAUGCCAACCAUAGCCUUGAACACGGAAAAAGGGUCACGCGAAUCGGCAGAGGCUCGACCGAACAAUGACCAUCGAAUACGGAACAGGCUCGUACGAAUCGAUAGGCCUCGAGCGCAAGGACGCCGUCCGCCGCCUGACGCAGGUAUGGAAACCAGGGCAUUUAAUGCGCCUGGUGUGUCCUCACCUAACCCGACAGUCAUGGGAAACAUGAUAGGGAGCAAGCACCCGUCCAAUCCCCCUUUUUUGCAGCUUUUUCCCUUUAGAAGAGCUAGGGUACGGCCGAGCACAGCGAGACAAUCGUGAUGUCGCUUCAUGACCCCCCUCGAGACAUCCAAAGUCAGCGCAUCGAUCAGCGAGGCCAUGCGCAAUGCCGGACUCUCGAGCGAACAUGUUCCUUCCCAAAGAAGAGUCAGGCGGUGAAAGACAGCACCUCAACCACUCCGGACAUGACUGCUGUCACGAUGUACAGGCGUGCCCACGGUUGAGCCAAUCCAGGAUAGUGCAUAGGAGCCGAAUUCGGAAGCACACGUAAUCAUCACCAAAGUUCUGAGUAACAAGAUGGCUCGAGGCCACGCCGGUACGGAAGCCUCGAGCAGGUCAGCGCACCACGCCCCUAUCGACCCCUACUCUAUCACCUACGUCGUGUAACCUAGGCCUCCCCUUGGAACUAUAAAAGGGGAGACAUAGGAAAGGAUGGGGGGACGACAUAUGUAGAAGAACAACCAUACAUCGCCUCCAUCUAGAACUCAGAAUCCAUCACAACACCGACUUGUAUUUGCCCCUGUACAAGCACUUAGGUGCAAGAUAAGAGAAACAUCUCCCCCCACUGGAUGUAGGGCCUUCUCUUGCCCGAACUAGGAUAAAUCUUUGUGUCUUUCUUGCAUCACCAUCUAGGAAAGGGAACACGCACACAAGUUUUACUUGUUGGUGUGACCCCCCAGGCGUAAAACACCGACAUGAUGAGCUUCCCAUAAAUGACUACUUAAGGGAUGACACCCUGGUUAAGAUAACACAUGUAGAUCCAUGGUACGCAGACAUCGUAAACUUUAUAGUAAAAGGCUAUGUCCCACCUGGUACAAGCAAAAGGAAGUUGCUUCACGAUAGUUGUUUCCACCAUUGGGAUGAGCCAUAUCUUUUCCGAGUCUGCACUGAUGGACUCUUGAGCAGGUGUGUUCCUAUGGCUGAGGCUACUCAAAUUAAGGAAAGAUGCCAUGCCUUGCCAUAUGGAGGACACUAUGGAGCAUUUCGGACACAUGCUAAAAUUUGGCAAAGUGGCUUUUGUGGCCAACGAUGUAUGAAGACACAAAGGACUUUGUCAGGAGAUGCCACCGAUGUCAAAAACAUGGGAAUAUCAACUCACAAAAUGAAAUGCCUCUCACAAAUAAUCUUCAAGUAGAACUUUUCGAUGUAUGGGGCAUUGACUUCAUGGGACCAUUCCCUAUGUCCGAGAAUUGUGAGUAUAUCUUAGUAGCUAUGGACUACGUGUCCAAAUGGGUAGAAGCCUACCAGUUGAUUCUUAACAUGCCAAGAGAAUGUUCCAUGAAGUAAUCUUUCCUCGCUUUGGUAUACCCCGGAUAGUUAUAAGCGAUGGAGGUUCCCACUUCAUCGACAAAAUAUUCCAGAAGUACCUAGCCGAUCAUGGAGUUCGACACAAUGUCGCAACACCAUACUAUCCUCAGACUAGCGGUCAAGCCAAAACAUCUAACAAACAAAUCAAAAAUAUUCUACAAAACACCGUAUAUGAGAUGGGUAAGGGGUGGAAGGACAAACUUCCUGAUGCACUUUGGGCAUAUAGAACUGUCGAGGGUAUCAACAAGGGGUACCCUAACCAAUGCACAUAAUGGGAGGACCCGCAUAUAAAUCGAGGCCCCUGACUCGACGCCCCCCCGUCCUCACGCGUGACUGCCAAAAUACAAUGUCGACCAUAGCCUCGAACAUGGAAAGGGGGUCGUGCGAAUCAACCAAGGCACGACCGAACAGCAACCGUCGAAUACGGAACUGGCUCGUACGAACCAACGAGCCUCGAGCGCAAGGACGCCGCCCGCCGCCUGACGCGGGCACGGGAACCAGGGCAUUUAAUGUGCCUGCCGCGUUCUCACCUAACCCGACUAUCACGGGAAGUGUGAUAGGGAACAGGCACCCGUCCAAUCGCUCCUUUUUGCAGUCUUACCCACCAGACGAGCCAGAGUACGGCAGGACGCAGCGAGAUGGUCGGAACAUCUCGUCAGGACCCCCCUCGAGACGCCCAAAGUCAGCGCUUCGUUCAGCAGGGCUUUGUGCGGCACCCGACCCUCGAGCGGGUAUGUUCCUUCCCAGAGAAGAGUCGGGCGAUGAAAGACGGCACCUCAACCACUCUGACGCGACUGCAGCUACGACGUACAAGCGUGCCACGGAUAACCCAGUUCAGGACAACGCGUAGGAGCCGAAUUCAAGGGCACGCAUAAUCAUCACCCAAGUACUGUAUAACAAGACGGCUCGAGGCCACGCCGGUACGGAAGCCUCGAGUAGGUCAGCGUGCCAUACACCUAUCGACCCCUACUCUAUCACCUAUGCCAUGUAAUCCGGGUCUCCCCUUGGAACUAUAAUAGGGGAGGCACGGGAAGGGAUAGGGGACAAGAGACAUACGUAGAGGAACCACCAUACUUCAUCUCCAUCCAUCCACAAUACCGACUUGUAUUCACCCCUGUAGGAGCACUUAGGUGCAAGAUAAUAGAAACAUCUCCCCCCCCCGUUGGACGUAGGGCCUUCUCUUGCCUGAACCAGGAUAAAUCUUUGUGUUUUUCUUGCAUCACCAUCUAGGAAGGGGAACACGCACACAAGUUUUACUCGUUGGUGUGACCCCCCGGGGGAAAACACUGACAGUUGGCGCGCCAGGUAGGGGUCCUACGUGUUCUUUCACCAACUUCCCAUCUCCUUCCAGAUGGCCACUCUCGUUUCACCGAUUCCGCGCUCCACGGUGAUUUGGUUUGGGAGCCUCGAGUUCAUGUCUACUGGCUUCGGCUACGACAUGAUUCUGCUCUCGGUCAAAGGACCGGGAGGAGCUCGCAUUGCGCCCGCACGAUUGAGGGCUCCAAGACGGCCUCACCACCAUGCCUCCCCGCCCAAGAAGAGGCGUGGACAGCGCCGCCACCACUGCUCUGCCUCCUCACGGUUGUCGGCUCGUGCCAGGCGGAUGGUGACGAAGGAGCCGACAACCCCGCGCGCUAGAGCCGCGGGUACGACGGCCUGACGUCACGAGGAUCACGUGACGACGUUGGGUGAUGACGCGCCUCGCGCGCUCUCAUCCCCCACAACGCUACUUCCGCAUGGGUUGUUCGCCCCAAGAAGAGCACUACCGUUCGGUCUGGACAGCGCCGCGACGUCGCUCGCCAGGACGAUAUGUCCAAACGUCGAGAUGUACGUGGAGCGGCCAAUGGUCCUCCCGCGCGACGCUGGAGCACAGCAGCAAGCAUCCGAGCUGCCGGAUUUCUCCUAGGUACGAGGCCUCCGCCGCCUAGGUCCUGGGCGAUACAUGAUCACCUCACUCAGGCAACGGCUGGCGGAAGAAGGACGCGGAUGUUUCUACGCCGCAGAGCCGGAUCCCGACUCUGAGUCCGACAGCUACGACCCUACGAGGGAAUGCUUCAACAUCGACGAAGAGGCGGAGACCACAGACGAAACACAUGAUGCCGUCACCGGAGGUUGAGCCCCUAUAGCAAGGGAGGACUCCAGGACACCUGGGAACAACGGUCAGGUCGACCCUCCGCCUCAGGAAGACAAAGCCGCGCAACUUACGCAGCUACGGGAGCUCAAAGCAAAGCUUGAUGAAGAUCGCGAGCGCCUUGCUGAGCUCGAGCGGGUCCUCGAGUAGGACCAACCAUACCCACAUUGCGGAGGUGCGUGAGGACGGGCUCGAGAAGUACACUGACAAAUUGUCGGGGAUGGGGAACCAGAACAACCCGUCAGCCGCUUCCCUUGAGCGGGCUAGAACGUCAUGGCAGCAACCAUGCUGCUACAUAACAUGCCUGCACCUUCGAACUCCCAAGCAUGGUGCAUUCGAGAUGAAGUGCAGACUCUGCUUCAGGUGGCGGCGGCUCAGCGAGCCGAAAGCUCGGCCUCUCGACGGCGAGGGGCGAUCUCGGAGAAGCACGACGAGCCGGUUCGAAAUGAAAGGGAGGUGUCCGUUGUUGACACUUGUUAACACCACUUGAAUACUAGGUUGUCAUCCCCAACAUGGCACUAGAGUGUACUAUGGUAUUUAUACGCACACAGAUAAUCCGCAAGCGCACGGAUACCGUUGAAGCUUUUACCCAGUUAAAGGUUUUAUCGUAUCCACAGGGAAACGGGAGACCCAACUACGCUCUAACUUAACCAAGAUAGAUAGAUAAGUGUAAAUAGGAAAGAUGGUAGAAUUGAAUAAGAACAAUAUUAAAGGUAAGAUAACAGUGAGUGAUAAUAUGGGAAUAGAGAGUAGAGCAAUUCUAGUAUAUGAGCGAUGCUAGCAGAAUAGAGAGGAUAACUAUGGUUUCUCUACUUCAAAGGGGUAUGUCUAUGUCUAGGACGAACCACGUGAUAAGAGUAUACCACAAAGGAUGCUUAUCCAUAGGCUGAUAAACCCUACCCGUCCUGCUAAUGAGAGGUGGACUACAGAGGACCAACGUCACCGUCACCUACGCGGCCUACCACACGAUCCAGCUAGAUAGGGCAUGUCCACAAGUAAUCUAGGUCUAAGCACCAUGCUUACACCUAUACUACAACUCUAACCUAUAGGGUCCUAUAGAUUAGAAGUACUCAAAAGAGUUGUGAACCAGAACAUACAUAAUUAGUAAUUGCAUAAUGAAUUAGAAGUAGAUUACCAGAGUCAUCCCAUGAGCAAGCUUGAUUAGAGCUUGAUCAUGACGAAGUACAACCGGAGGAAGAACCGACAGGCCGGCCUCUCCUCUAAUCCUCCUUCGCUCUUCAUCUCGCUACUAUCUAGAUCUACUCUAGUUUAGAGAAGAGAGGAGAGCUCUCAUCUCUAAACCCUAGCUUUUGCCCUGUCUAUGAAUAAUGAAUAAUGAUCAAGUGGUGCCUCCUCCAGGGGCCAGGGGGUCUGCUUAUAUAGUCCCCUCAAGUGAACCUGGGCUGUCGGAUCAAACCGACAUUGAUUGAACGGUUAUUCUUGAUCCUUUAGGCCGGUGGAGCGUAAUCCCCGAAGAGAGUCCUGAUUGGACUCUAUAGCUGGGCGGGCGCCCUGCCCCCGAGCCCGCUCGGCAUCCCGUUCGUUCCUGUGGCUUCUGGAGUCUUCUAGAUGAUAGAAAAUUGCACGGCACGUUAAUAUCUCUAUGUAAACCCGACGUGUGGGCCUUCUCUCCAUAUUUCCUGAUAACCCCCUGCAGAAAUAGACAAACACCAAAACUCGUGGAAUUCUGUCAGAUAAAACCCUAUGUUUAGAUGUUGGUUGUAUUUGGAUCCUUUUCUUUGUUUAUUUGCUGAUUAUAUUUGGUACUUAAGGACCGUCAACAACUCCCCCAAGCUUACCUCUUGCUCGUCCCUGAGCAAGGAUGGACUCAAGAGUUUUUGCAUUGGUUUUAUGCCUUAAAGGUACUCAUGCGUUCAAACAAGAUCUCAUCUCUAGGUUAAGGUAAACUGUUAAGAUUUAAACUUACUCAUAUUACCUUCCACCAUGGGGCUUGCAACAGUCACAUGUGUCUUGAGCAGUUAAAACAUAGAACGGUCAAGUCAAGCACCAUGUCUCUUGUUCUUUGAUUAACUAAAGUUCUGGAGUUUUUUUUUUGCAGAUUUUCAAAUAAAACUCAGAGAUUCGUUGUAUGACCCUCUCUAGUCUCUCUUUUGUGGUAUUUCUGGAUCCUUACCAAGGCAGUGAUAAUAUACGCCUUCUCUCAAAGUAUGUAGUAUUUGUGGUAUGAGGCAUAGUGAUAUUGCCUUCUCUCUCACCCUACUAUAAUAAGGUUUGAUAUCUGGAGCUCAUAGGUGGGAGACAGCUAAUACAUACUUACAAGACAUUUAUUGCAUAGUCAAACCAUGGAUCCAGAAAAACAAGUCAAUAAGUCAAAUCAAGAUGUGCAUGUGUGGCGAAUGAAUGGUGAUAAUGGUGAAAACAAUGGUGAAAGUCUAAUUCUACUUUUGCUCUUUUGAGGGGAUACAUACCUUUCUUGCACUUUGAAGCUUUUUGAGGGGAAUGAGAUGCUCUAUAUUUUCUUUUUCUUUUCUCUCAGGUGGGUAUCUUGUACCCCUAAUUCUACUAUCGGACACUUGUCGAUUUUUACCUCUCAUCUCACUUUUUAAUUUUCUUCGAGGUUCCGGGCACUUGCCCCUUUUUAUUUCCUCGUAUUUUUUUCCUUUUUUUAGAGCACUCACCCUCCUAGAAUAAUGUAGCAAGUGGUCGUAACCAAAAUAUCUGGAGCAUUUAUUUCAUGGGGAGUAAUUGGGAUAGAAUAAUGUUUUUGGCUAUUCUCUCCCAGAUAAGAGUAGAAUAAUUUUGGGUGAAUCUGGAGAUGGAAAUGAGUGGAUGUAUGUGGAUGCAUACUUCCGGAGUAGAAGCAGCAUGUAUGAGUGGACGUGCAAGUGAAUCUUGAUUAUAACCGCAUUACAAGCUCCUAAGGGUCUACAUAGCUUGACCACACUCAAUGCUCAUAAGCACUAAAAAGUAAAUGUAUGGUUCAUAGUCUCAUAAGCAUGUAUAUGUGGCUGUGGUAGGAUUUUAAACUCUCAUCAUAUAGGAACUCAUCAUGCAACAUUUUAAAGAUUUUCAAAGAUAAAAUUCUCUAGAAUUCUAGCAUCUCUAGGAACAGAUAAACAGCAGCUCAACCUUCCCAUAUCAUAUCCGUUAACGACUUAGACUUUAGAUCAAGUACUCUUCCCACAAGUUUAGGUUUAUAGCAAAUCUUAAUUCAUAACAGUCAUGCCUAAACUUGAGAGAGAUUUCAAUUCUGAGAACUAGUCAUGGCAGAGCAACUAUUCAUCAUUCCUAUGUGAGAGCUUAACAUGAGCGUUCAUAGCAAACUUUACUUAUUUAUUUAUUUAGCAAACUAAGCAUAGAUAUAUAUAUAAGCAUAAAAUCUUUAUUUGGGUUUUUAUGAUUAUGCAUCUUUUUAUUAUUUGAGUAAAGUAUAAAUGCGAGUAGAAACACUUAGCUGGAUAAAUGGGGGUGCUCUCCCCCAAGCUGGAUUUUGACGUAAUUUCUUUUGAUGUAGCUAGCAAGUGGCGGAGGUGUAUUUGAAUGUCGGUAGCACCCUGACAGCGAUUAGAAUGUCCUCCAUCUGCUAGUCUUCUUUGAUCCUUGAAUUCUGUGGAGCUCAAAUAGACAACAAAGCUUUGUGGAACAGGUGAAGUGUUAGCAUAAAAUCUCUUAGCUGUUAUCAUGUUGAGCUUCCUCUAAUAAAUGUUAUUCUCCUUAGUGGCAUCAUAAUCUUAUUUUUAUAUUUUCAUUUUUAUAGGACAGGAAUAUAUUUAUUUUAUUUUUACGCCACCACAGUGAAUGUACUUAUGGGUUUCAUGCCACGAGCAUACUCACAUGGGGCUUAGUAUUUUUUUAACAUUUUUAUUUUCUUUUCAAGAUAGCAUGAUUAACUAAUAAUCUAUUUAAGGAUAGUAAAUAAUUAAAUAGAAAAGGGAAUGCAGAAAGGAUAAAUAUGGAUAACUACCGAUUUUACCUUUCGACGAGGAUUCAAUGUUUUAAGUCUUCUGAACAAGACUUCUCACCGUGUUCAUUCUUCAGGUGCGUCAUUUGAUUCAUGUGUGGACCUUGACAUCUGCACCUCUUAAUACGGUGUCACUCAUGUUCUUCGUUUGCCCAGUAGUUCGAAGUGCGGUGUUGGCAGUAUCUUGCUCAGUGUGUUUGUGCUCGUAGUGUACCUGCUCAUAGAGACAAGGCAGAGAUCAAGUGCAUGGGCCCUGUUGGUGGAAAACACCAACAGAACCAAAAGUGUAUUUGUUCUUCUCUAACCUUAAGCAUGGUGAGCAAGACAAAGUUGAUGAAUGAUAAGUUCAUGAGUGUAGCAUUUAAAACAUUUGCUAGAUCAGAUCGCUCAACCUAAUGGAAAGAUAAUCUAUCUAUAUAUAUGCCUUUUUCUUUAUAUCUUCCCAAAGAAUAAAUAUGCAACAUUUUAGCUCAUAUGGUUAGGAGUGUGGGAUCAUGGAGGUAGUACUAGGAACAAAGAUUAAAGGACUAAACAUGCUGAAUCAGUUGGGUUGGUUAAUUUUGAGUUAUAAAUCAUACACGUUUGUCUCUUUAUUUAUGUGAAUGCCAGAACCAAGGAGAAGCUUAUAAAAGUGAUAGUCAGAUAUCUUAAGAUGUUACCUUACUUGAAGAGUGAUGGUACAGUAUCACCUUGUGGAAGCUUUCCUUUCGUAGUGGUUGUGUAUCUUGUUUAUGUACUUUGUCUCCUUCCAUGGAUCAUCUCUGUAUGAUGAAUGAGCUAUGUCCUUCUUGUGCAAAUUGUUAAACUUCAUGUGUUACUCUCUUCAUCUCCGAUGUGAGUUUAUCUCAGGACUUCCCAGGUUGAUAGUGAAAGUUUUCCUGUAGGGGUUAGUCCGACAAAAUAUACCAAUAUCUACUCAAGCAGUUUUUAGUUCAGUAACCAAACUAGACUCCAUGACUAAUCAGAUUAAGGAAGGCUAUUUAACCUAAGCACCAUGCUCAAUUUAAAUGCCAAUGGAAGUAUGUCGAGUACUUCCAAACCAACAUUUGCUAGAAAAUAUUCAAAGGUAGCAUGACAGCAUUUAUAGAGAUCUACUCAAGUGGAGAUAGAGUAGUGUGAUUAGUAUUUAACAAAUUGAGCAUGUCUCAAAGGUAGGGACAACCAACAUAGCAACAUGGCAAAGGAUGUUAAGUACUCCCCCAAGCUUGAAUUUUGCAAAAUUCAAGUUUGGAUGAAUUUAAUUCAAUGUUGUAUGAUGAUUGGUUGGACAUACCUUGUGCUUGUCAUUCAUCCGAUCUUCUUGCUCCAAUCUUGGAAAGCUUAGUGACAAGAAUACCCGAAGGAAUAUUUUCACAAUUAUCCUUAUAUGCUCAAUACACAAGGUAAUGUUGUAAAUAAUUAAAAGCUCAUGUUACGAUCUGAGAUUAGUGCUUGUUUUAGGACACUAAGCUUGUCCUUGGGAAACCAUCAAUUUAUGUCGGGGAGAUCUGCAAUAUUUAUUAUAGACAUAUGCAUCGACAACCGCCCUUUUAAUGUUUUUAUAAAUAGUAAGGAAGAGGAGGUUGGAGAUCUCAAGUGUGGUGAUGUUGGAGAGACCAAUAGAUUGGGAAGAUAUUGCAUAUGAGCAUGGAGCAAAAGGAGUGGCUAUGAAAUAAAUUCCAUGCUCAUUAAUGUUAUCUUCGUCUCCAAUCUGAGUGUUUGGAGUUUCUCCUGGAUUGGUCUCACCUAUGUCCUCUUCUGUAGUUGGAUGAAUCUCAUCUUCAAAGGGAGUCAAGAACUCACCAUUCGAAAUUGAGCCAAAGUCAGAAUCCAUUAAAGCUUCUUCCUUAUCCAUCCAUUCUACGCAUUCUAGCCAUUUGGAACUUGUGAUCACGAAAGGGGAGGUGUUAGAAUUUUCUAUAUGGCUUAGCUCUCCUUCACUUGAUAUGUCAUCCUUGACUUCUUCAUAAUAGGAACUAGGACAUUCUCUAAGAGAACCAUUAUUGCGAGGAUUUGAAUUAUCCCUGCUUGAAGGUCUCUUAUGGAACCAGAAGUCUAAACCAUCAGCAUCUGAAAGAUUUAAGGUCGAAAUUCCUUCCUCCCUUGGAGAAUUUUGGGGUAUUGAUGGUUUAGGAUCGAUAGCUAAAGUUUGGAAUUGAAGUGGUUGUAAUCUGGCUAUCGAAACUUCUUGUUCUUGUCUAGGAACUGGUUGUGUCUCUUUCUCAGGGAUAUAAAACCUACGAGACUUUCCACUCAUUAAAUCAAUCAAAUUCGAAGAUUCACUAGUGGAUAGGUGGUGGAAAGAUCCUCCAGAGGCCGCAUGAAGGGUUUGCUUAUUUUUCCUACUAAGGCCCUCAAAAAAGUGAAUUAGAAGAACUUCUUCUGGAAUAGAAAGCUUUGGGCUAGUGAGAGUAAGGUUAAUAAAGCGGUCCCAUGAUUUGCCAAGAGAUUCUUCUUCCAGUUGUCUAAAAGAAAGAAUCUCACGCCGAAGUUCCACCACUUUGGAGAUUGGAAAAUAUUUAGAAAGAAAAUUACUAUAUAACUCCUUCCAAUCUCCAUGAACACUCCUUACUUUGAGUUUGUACCAAUGUCUAGCUUUUCCUGUUAAAGAGAACGGAAAGAGCUUCCAUUUAAGGGUCUCAUCGAACAUGCCUUCUAUGCGAAGGAGGUCACAGACUCGAUAAAACUCUCUUAGGUGUGUGUAUGGGUUUUCCUCACCUUCUCCUGAGAAAGGUUGUUUUUGAAUAAAUUCUAUGUAUUCGGGGUCUAUCUCAAAACUAGAUGCUAUGAUAGGCUUUGAAGAUUUUGGUGGUUCGAGAUGUGUGCCCGUAGGUCUAUGAAAUUCAUAGAUAGACUUGUUUGAAUUCAUGAUAGACUAGAGAUCAAGGAUUAGAUAAGAAGAAAGAAUAGCAGAGAUAAGGCAAAAGAUUAAAGGAAAAGUAUAUAUAUAUAUUUAUUUUUUAGAAAAUGGUUAAGCUAGUUCGUAGUCAACUCAGCAACCGUUUCCCCGGCAACGGCGCCAAAAAUGCUUGUUGACACUUGCUAACACCACUUGAAUACUAGGUUGUCAUCCCCAGCAUGGUACUAGAGUGUACUAUGGUAUUUAUACGCACACAGAAAAUCCGCAAGCGCACGGAUACCGUUGAGGCUUUGACCCAGUUAAAGGUUUUAUCGUAUCCAAAGGGAAACGGGAGAACCAACUACGCUCUAACUUAACCAAGAUAGAUAGAUAAGUGUAAAUAGGAAAGAUGGUAGAAUUGAAUAAGAACAAUAUUAAAGGUAAGAUAACAGUGAGUGAUAAUAUGGGAAUAAAGAGUAGAGCAAUUCUAGUAUAUGAGCGAUGGUAGCAGAAUAGAGAGGAUAACUAUGGUUUCUCUACUUCAAAGGGGUAUGUCUAUGUCUGGGACGAACCACGUGAUAAGAGUAUACCAACGAGAGGUGGACUACAGAGGACCAACGUAACUGUCACCUACGCGGCCUACCACACGAUCCAGCUAGAGAGGAGAUAUCCACAAGUAAUCUAGGUCUAAGCAACACACUUACACCUAUACUACAACUCUAACCUAUAGGGUCCUAUAGAUUAGAAGUACUCAAAAGAGUUGUGAACCAGAACAUACAUGAUUAGUAAUUGCAUAAUGAAUUAGAAGUAGAUUACCAGAGUCAUCCCAUGAGCAAGCUUGAUUAGAGCUUGAUCAUGACGAAGUACAACCGGAGGAAGAACCGACAGGUCGGCCUCUCCUCUAAUCCUCCUUAGCUCUCCAUCUCGCUACUAUCUAGAUCUACUCUAGUUUAGAGAAGAGAGGAGAGCUCUCAUCUCUAAACCCUAGCUUUUGCUCUGUCUAUGAAUAAUGAAUAAUGAUCAAGGGGUGCCUCCUCCAGGGGCCAGGGGGUCUGCUUAUAUAGUACCCUCAAGUGAACCAGGGCCGUCGGAUCAAACCGACAUUGAUUGAACGGUUAUUCUUUAUCCUUUAGGUCGGUGGAGCGUAAUCCCCGAAGAGAGUCCUGAUUGGACUCUGUAGCUGGGCGGGCGCCCUGCCCCUGAGCCCGCUCGGCCUCCCGUUCGUUCCUGUGGCUUCUGGAGUCUUCUAGAUGAUAGAAAAUUGCGCGGCACGUUAAUAUCUCUAUGUAAACCCGACAUGUGGGCCUUCUCUCCAUAUUUUCUGAUAACCCCCUACAGACAUAGACAAACACCAAAAGUCGUGGAAUUCUAUCAGAUAAAACCCUAAGUUUAGAUGUUGGUUGUAUUUGGAUCCUUUUCUUUGUUUAUUUGCUGAUUAUAUUUGGUACUUAAGGACCGUCAACAUCCGUCCAUCAGCAACUACCCCCUCGGGGAAAGAAAACAGCGCCUGUCCAAGGCCACCCCGUCGACAAUCAACGGAGACACGACGCAUGACACGACAUCAACGAGUAUCGUCGCCGUCAACAUGGGGAUGCGGAGGAGCGUGGUUACAGCGCCCACCGUGGCGGACGAUACGACAGCGACGAGGACUGGAUGGCCCCAGAACCACCGGGCCCUCGCGUGUUCAGCAGAGCAAUCCGUAGCACGCCACUGCCCAGCCCGUUUCGACCCCCAACCAGCAUUGCUAAAUACAACGGCGAAACCAAGCCGGAACUAUGGCUGGCAGACUUUCGGCUGUCCUGUCAGUUGGGUGGUGCUCGAGGGGACGAUCGAGGCAUUAUCCAACAGCUGCCACUUUUCCUCUCUGACACCGCCCGUAGAUGGCUCGAGGAACUCCCUACCAACCAGAUCCACGAUUGGACUGAUUUAGUCAGGGUGUUCGAGGGCAACUUCAAAGGGACCUACAUACGACCCGGCAAUUCGUGGGACCUCAGCAUGUGCAAGCAGAAAUCAGGAGAAACUCUCCGAGAGCAUACUCGACGCUUCUCGAAGCAAUGCACCGAGCUGCCGCACAUCUGUUGGGUAUUUUAAACGCAAACAGAAAAAUCCGCAAGCGCACGGAUACGGAUGUAGCCUUCACCCGGGAGUAUUCCAGAGUAUCGAUUUUUCACAGGGAACGUGAGUGUACUAAUUAAGAUCCAAGAUCGCCCAAGGAUAACUAUAUAAUUAUUUUUGGUGGGAAGAGAGGAAGUUUCCUGAGAGUUCUCUAGUUGAUCUAAGAAUCAAGAUUUACUUCAAGAUUAUCUAUUUUGGGACAUCAGAACACUAACCACAGAAAGAGAUGAGAAGGGGGCUAGGAAGCUCCGACUACGGUCCUACAAACACCGAUCCGAACGAGGUGGAAUACGUCGACCGUUAAUGCUGUCACUACCCUAAGACUACCACAACAAUCCACAGGAUUGGGUGCAAUUCCAGGUAAUCGCAAGACUAAACACCACGUCUAAUCUAUUAAUUACUACUCUAGCGUUAUAAAGACUAGAGCACUUGAUGCAAGCUGGAAUCUAAUAAACAACUUGAAUGUAAAUAAAAGUAAUUAGAGAACUCAGGAAUUAUGAAUUGAAGAACCUAGAGAACGAUGAAGAACGAACCAGUUGCUGCAAAAGUAUAAUGUUGAGGAAGAUCCGACAGAUCUGGCUCCUCCUCCGCUCUCCUCUUCUCACUCCCUAUUUUCUAGAUUACAACUAGAACUAACUAGAACUAGAACUAGAGGAACUAGAACUAGAACUAGAUGAACUAGAACUAGAUCUAGAUGAACUAGAGGUAGAACUAGAAGAACUAGGGGGAUCCUCUCUACUUGGAUGAAGAAUUGAAACCCUAACUUUGAUUCUGUAGAAGAGGUAUGCUCUCCAGGGGCCAGGGGGCCUUGCUUAUAUAGUCUUUUCAGAUGAAUAUGGGCCAUCGGAUCAAACCGACAUUAAUCGCACGGUUUUCCUUGGUCCCUUAGGUCGGUGGAGCACGAUCCGCGAAGUUGAAGCUGAUUGGUUACUAUAGCUGGGCGGGCACCCAAGGGACUUGGGCGGGCGCCCUGCCCCCGGGCCCGAUCGGCCUCCCAUUCGUUCCUGUGGCUUCUAGAGUCUUCUAGAUGGUAGAAAAUUGCGUGGCACAUUAAUAUCUCUAUGUAAACCAGACGUGUGGGCCUUUCUUUCAUAUUUCCUGAUAACCCCCUGCAGAAAUAGACAAACACCAAAACUUGUGGAAUUCUGUCAGAUAAAACCCUAAGUCUAGGUGUUGGUUGCAUUUGGAUCCUUUUCUAUGAUUAGUUGAUGGUUAAAUGUAAGCAUUAAGGACCAUCAACAAGCUCCCCCAAGCUUAACCUUUGCUCGUCCCUGAGCAAAGAUGAACUUAAGAGUUUCUGCAGUGGUUUCAUGCCUUAAAGAUAUACAUGCGUUCAAACAAGAUCUCAUCUCUUGGUUAGGGUAAACUGUUAAGAUUUAAACUUACUCAUUUUACCUUCCACCAUGGGGCUUGCAACCGUCACUUGUGUCUUGAGUAGUUAAAAGAUAGAACGGUCUAGUCAAGCGCCAUGUCUCUUGUUCUUCGAUUAAAUAUAGCUCUGGAGUUUUUGCAGAUUUUCAAAUAAAACUCAGAGAUUCCUUGUAUGACUCUGUCUAGUCUCUCUUUUGUGGUAUUUCUGGAUCCUUACCAAGGCAGGGAUGGUGUAUGCCUUCUCUCAAAGUAUGUGGUAUUUUUGGUAUAAGGCAUAGUGGCAUUGCCUUCUCUCUCACCCUACUCUAAUAAGGUUUUGAUAUCUGGAGCUCAUAGGUGGGAGACAGCUAAUACAUACUUACAAGACAUUUAUUGCAUAGUCAAACCAUGGAUCCAGAAGAACAAGUCAAUAAUUCAAAUCAAGAUGUGCAUGUGUGGCGAAUGAAUGGUGAUAAUGUUGAAAGUAAUGGUGAUAACAAUGGUGAAAGUCUAAUUCUACUUGUGCUCUUUUGAGGGGAUACAUACCUUUCUUGCUCUUUUGAAACUUUUUGAGGAGAAUGAGAUGCUCUAUAUUUUCUUUUUUCUUUCCUCACAGGUGGGUAUCUUGUACCCCUAAUUCUACUGUCGGACACUUGUCCAUUUUUACCUCUCGUCUCACUUUUUCUUUUCUUUUGAGGUUCCGGGCACUUGCCCCUUUUUAUUUCCUCUUAUACUUUUUUUUCUUUUUUUUAGAGCACUCAUCUCCUGAAAUAAUAUAGCAAGUGGUAGUAACCAAGAUAACUUGAGCAUUUAUUUCACAAGGAAAAACAGAAAUGUUUUUGGCUAUUCUCUCCCGGAUUAGGAGUAGAAUAUUUUUAGGUGAUUCUGGAGAUGGAAAUGGGUGGAUAUAUGUGGAUGUGUACUUCCGGAGUAGAAGCAGCAUGUGUGAGUGAACGUGCAAGUGAAUCUUGAUUUAACCACAUGACAGUCUCCUAAGGGUCUACACAGCUUGACCACACUCAAUGCUCAUAAGCAGUAAAAAGUAAAUGUGUGGCUCAAAGUCUAGCAAGCAUGUAUAUAUGGCUGUGGUAGGAAUUUAAACUCUCAUCAUACAGGAACUCAUCAUGUGAUAUUUUAAAGAUUUUCAUAGAUAAAAUUCUCCAGAAUUCUAGCAUCUCUAGUAAUAGAUAAACAGCAGCUCAACCUUCCCAUAUCAUAUCCAUUAACGACUUAGACUUUAGAUCAAGUACUCUCCCCACAAGUUCAGGUUUUGAGCAAAUCUUAAUUAAUACCAGUCAUGCCUACACUUGAGAGAGAUUUCAAUUUUAAGAACUAGUCAUGGCAGAGCAACUAUUCAUCAUUUUCAUGAGCGAGCUUAUCAUGAGGGUUCAUAGCAAACUUUAUUUAUUUAUUUAUUUAGCAAACUAAGAAGAGAUAUAUAUAUAUAUAUAAGCACAAAAUCUUUAUUUGGGUUUUCAUGAUUAUGCAUCUUUUUAUUAUUUGAGUAAAAUAUAAACAUGAGUAGAACACUUAGCUGGAUAAAUGGGGGUGCUCUCCCCCAAGCUGGAUUUUGACAUAAUUCCUUCUGAUGUAGCUAGCAAGUGGUGGAGGUGUAUUUGAAUGUCAGCAGCACCCUGACAGCGAUUAGGAUGUCCUCCGUCUGCUAGUCUUCUUUGAUCCUCGAAUUCUGUGGAGCUCAAAUAGACAACAAAGCUUUGUGGAACUGGUUAGGUGUUAGCAUAAAAUCUAGCCUUUAUCAUGUUGAGCCUCCUCAAUAAAUGUUACUCUCUUUAGUAGGAUCAUAAAUUUAUUUUUGUAUUUUUAUUUUUAUAGGAUAGGAAUAUAUUUAUUUCAUUUUUACGCCACCACAGUGAAUGUACUUAUGGGUUUUAUUCCAUGAGUAUACUCACAUGGGGCUUACUAUUUUAAACAUUUUUAUUUUCUUUUCAAGAUGAUGUGAACCUGAUUAACUAAGCAAACUAUUUUAAAUAAUUGAAAGGAAAAAGAUAACUACCAAGUUUACCUCUUGGCAAGACGUUCAGUGUUUUUAAGUCCUCCGAACUGGACUCUCCGUUUUCUCAGUCGUCUUGGGAUUCGCUGGAUGGCGUAGUCGGUGGUUCCGGCGGCGCCUGCUCUUCAUGUAUAACUAUCUUCUCUCUACACACCUAACUCGGUGCUACGGUCUCCUCAGGACAGCUCUAUUCAAGCUGUAUGUCUUCAGACAUUACCACUUCUCCUUCGUAGUCCGCCCAUCCGUCCUUGAUGAUUUGCCUUCUCUGGUUGCGGUUGCGUCGUAUUAUUCUUGUCCUGACCUGCUUAGAGUCUUCAACUAUAUAGUUAGGGUCAGUAAAAUAGUGGCGUACCUUCUCAGAGGGGAAGUGCAUGUGGACUUCUCCGGUUCCAAUCUAGAUGAUUGCUUUAACAGUGCUGAGGAACGGUCUUCCAAAGAUGAUGGGUGGAUCGUGCUCGUCUUCUCCCAUGUCAGUAACCUUCAACCUUUCGGAAUGUCUGAUCUUCCAUCUAGAGCUAAAUGUAUUUCGGUUUUAGGGGUAUGGUUCCGAACAGGAGUUGAUAGGUGACUGCGGCCAUUAUGUUGAUGCCUGACCCGGUGUCGCAAAGUGUCUUCUAGAAGUUUUAUCCAUUAAUGGAGCACUAGAUGCUUGGCAUGCCUGGGUCGUCCUUUUUGGUUAGGAACGGUGACUUAAAUAGAUGAUCCUGACCUCCUUGAACUGCAGUGACCAUCUUAGCUGACUCGGUCCACACUUGCUUGUUCCUGUUCCUCCUGUUGGUCCUCUUCCUUGGUUCAUGUCGGGAAUGCUCUGAGAUUUGUGUAGUCUUGUUCUUAAAGGAAAACGUCUCAUUUCUCCCUUUGAUGUAGAAACUGAUCUUGGCAGCACUAGCAUAGAUGACAGCUCUCGAGGUGUUCAGGAAUGGCCUCCCUAAGACGGGUGCCCUCUCAUCAGUACCAGUCUCUAUCACCACGAAGUUUGCUGGGGCGUACAAGGUACCAACUCGGACGCAAAGGUUCUUCAAUAUUCCCUUUGGGAAACUUAGUGUCUGAUCUACAGGCUGCAAGCACAUGGUUGUUUCUAGUAAAGGAUGUGUAAAGAAUUUUUUCAUAGAGUACCUUGGGCAUAAUGUUGACGCUGGAGCCAAAGUCGCAGAGUGAUUCUAGGAAGUCCACCAUGCCGAUGGAGAUCGGGAUGACGGGGCGUCUUGGAUCACCUCUCUAAGUAGUUAGGCCUCUGAUGAUUCCAACCUUGAUUUUGUUGAGGACGGUUAUAGUUGUUGUUGUUGUUGAUGAUGUAGUUUACGUCCUCAAGCAUCUCAGGGCAGUGAUUGCCUGAGUGUCCAGUAUCUCCAGUGUGUUUGUGCUCGUAGAUCUAGGUUCUUCACUUGGUGGAGAGUAAAAGUCCUUCAUAUUUUUGCUCGAAGUGUUCCUGCUCAUAGAGACAAGGCAGAGAUCAAGUGCAUGGGCCCUGUUGGUGGAAAACACCAACAGAACCAAAAGUGUAUUUGUUCUUCUCUAACCUUAAGCAUAGUGAGCGAGACAAAGUUGAUGGAUAAUAAGAUCAUGAGUGUAGCAUUUAAAGUAUUUGUCAGAUCAGAUCGCUCAACCUAAUGUAAAGAUAAUCUAUUUAUACUUAUGUUUUUAUAUAUAUAUAUAUAUCUUCUAAAGAUUGAGUGUGCAACAUUUUAGCUCAUAUGAUUAGGAGUGUGGGAUCACAAAGGUGGAAGGACUAAACAUAUUGAAUCGAUUGGAUUUGUUAAUCUAGAGUUGUAAAUCAUACAUGUUUGUCUCUUUAUUCAUGUGAAUGCCAGAACCAAUGAGAAACUUAUAAAAAGGAAUGAUAGUCAAGUACCUUAAAAUGUUACCUUACUUGAAGAGUGAUGGUACAGUAUCACCUUGUGAAAGCUUUCCUUUCUUAGCGGUUGUGCAUCGUGUUUGUGGCACCGUCCAUGAAUCAUCUCUUGUGAGCUAUGCCUUCCUUGUGUAAAUUGUUAACCUUCAUGAGUCUCUCUCUUUGUCUCCAAUGUGAGUUUAUCUCAGGACUUCCCAGGUCGAUAUUGAAAGUUUUCCUGCAGGGGUUAGUCUAACAAAAUAUCCAAUAUCUACUAUAGCAUACUAUCGGCUCAAAAAUCAACCUAGACACCAUGUCUAAUUUGAUUCAGGAGGGCAUUUUGACCUAAGCACCAUGCUUAAAUUAAACUCCCUUGGAAGUAAGAUCAUCAUUCCUAAACUAAGCACCAUGCUUAAUUAAGGGAUAAAUGAAACUACUCCAAACCUAGACAUGUACUAAAGCAAAUAAAGGUAGUAUGAGAGCAUUUAUAGAGAUCCACUUGUUGGGUAUUUUAAACGCAAACAGAAAAAUCCGCAAGCGCACGGGUACCGAUGUAGCUUUCACCCGGGAGUAUUCUAGAGUAUCGAUUUUCCACAGAGAACGUGAGUGUACUAAUUAAGAUCCAAGAUCGCCCAAGGAUAACUAUAUAAUUAUUUUUGGUGGGAAGAGAGGAAGUUUCCUGAGAGUUCUCUAGUUGAUCUAAGAAUCAAGAAUUACUUCAAGAUUAUCUAUAUCGGGACAUCAGAACACUAACCACAGAAAGAGAUGAGAAGGGGGCUAGGAAGGUCCGACUACGGUCCUACAAACACCGACCCGAACGUGGUGGAAUACGUCGACCGUUAGGGUUGUCACUACCCUAAGGCUACCACAACAAUCCGCAAGAUUGGGUGCAAUUCCAGGUAAUUGCAAGACUAAACACCACGUCUAAUCUAUUAAUUACUACUCUAAUGUUUCAAAGAUUAGAGCACUUGAUGCAAGCGGGAAUCCAAUAAAUAACUUGAAUGUAAAUAAAAGUAAUUAGAGAACUCAGGAGUUAUGAAUUGAAGAACCUGGAGAACGAUGAAGAACGAACCAGUUGCUGCAAAAGUACAAUGUUGAGGAAGAUCCGACAGAUCCGGCUCCUCCUUCUCCGCUCUCCUCUUCUCUCUCCCUAUUUUCUAGAUUACAACUAGAACUAACUAGAACUAGAACUAGAGGAACUAGAACUAGAACUAGAUGAACUAGAACUAGAUCUAGAUGAACUAGAGGUAGAACUAGAAGAACUAGAGGGAUCCUCUCUACUUGGAUGAAGAAUUGAAACCCUAGCUUUGAUUCUGUAGAAGAGGUAUGAUCUCCAAGGGCCAGGGGGUCUGGUUUUAUAGUCCUUUCAAGUGAAUCUGGGCCGUCGGAUCAAACCGACAUUGAUCGCACGGUUUUCCUUGAUCAUUUAGGUCGGUGGAGCGUUGUCCGCGAAACGUGACCGAAUUGGUCUCUGGAAGUGGGCGGGUGCCCAAGGGACUAGGGCGGGCGCCCUGUGCCUGAGCCCUCUCGGCCUCCGCUUCGGUCCCGUGGCUUCUGGAGUCUUCUAGAUGAUAGAAAAUUGCCCGACACAUUAAUAUCUCCAUGUAAACCUGACGUGUGGGCCUUUCUUCCAUAUUUCCUGAUAACCCCCUGCAAAAAUACACAAACACCAAAACUCGUGGAAUUCUGUCAGAUAAAACCCUAAGUCUAGGUGUUGGUUGCAUUUGGAUCCUUUUCCAUGAUUAAUUGAUGGUUAAUUGUGAGCAUUAAGGACCGUCAACAAGCUCCCCUAAGCUUAACCUUUGCUCGUCCCUGAGCAAAGAUGAACUCAAGAGUUUCUGCAGUGGUUUCAUAACCUAAAGAUACACAUGCGUUUAAACAAGAUCUCAUCUCUGGUUAGAGUAAACUGUUAAGACUUAAAACUUACUCAUUUACCUUUCACCAUGGGACUUGUAACCGUCACUUCUGUCUUGAGUAGUUAAAAGAUAGAACGGUCUAAUCAAGCGCCAUGUCUCAUGUUCUUGAUCAACUAUAGCUCUGGAGUUUUUGCAGAUUUUCAAAUAAAACUCAGAGAUUCCUUGUAUGACUCUCUCUAGUCUCUCUUUUGUGGUAUUUGUGGAUCCUUACCAAGGCAGUAAAGGUGUAUGCCUUCUCUCAAAGUAUGUGGUAUUUUUGAUAUGAGGCAUAAUGGCAUUGCCUUCUCUCUCACCCUACUCUAAUAAGGUUUUGAUAUCUGGAGCUUAUAGUUGGGAGACAGCUAAGACAUACUUACAAGACAUUUAUUGCAUAGUCAAACCAUGGAUCCAGAAGAACAAGUCAAUAAGUCAAAUCAAGAUGUGCAUGUGUGGCGAAUGAAUGGUGUAUGGUGAUGAUGGUGAUAACAAUGGUGGAAGUCUAAUUCUACUUAUACUCUUUUGAGGGGAUACAUACCUUUCUUGCUCUUUUGAAACUUUUCGAGGGGAAUGAGAUGCUCUAUAUUUUCUCUCUCUUUUUUUUCUUUUCUCUCAGGUGGGUAUUUUGUACCCCUAAUUCUACUGUCGGACACUUGUCCAUUUUUACCUCUCGUCUCACUUUUUCAUUUCUUUCGAGGUUCCGGGCACUUGCCCCUUUUUAUUUCCUCGUAUCUUGUUUUUUUUUCUCUUUUUUUUUCUUCUUUUUUUUAGAGCACUCAUCUCCUGAAAUAAUAUAGCAAGUGGUAGUAACCAAGAUAACUUGAGCAUUUAUUUCAAAGGGGAAAACAAAAAUGUUUUUGGCUAUUCUCUCCCGGAUUAGGAGUAGAAUAUUUUUAGGUGAUUCUGGAGAUGGAAAUGGGUGGAUAUAUGUGGAUGCGUACUUCCGGAGUAGAAGCAGCAUGUAUGAGUGAACGUGCAAGUGAAUCUUGACUUAACCACAUGACAAGCUCGUAAGGGUCUACACAGCUUGACCACACUCAAUGCUCAUAAGCAGUAAAAAGUAAAUGUGUGGCUCAAAGUCUAGCAAGCAUGUAUAUAUGGCUGUGGUAGGAAUUUAAACUCUCAUCAUACAGGAACUCAUCAUGCAACAUUUUAAAGAUUUUCAAAGAUAAAAUUCUCCAGAAUUCUAGCAUCUCUAGGAACAGAUAAACAACAGCUCAACCUUCCCAUAUCAUAUCCGUUAACGACUUAGACUUUAGAUCAAGUACUCUUCCCACAAGUUCAGGUUUAGAGCAAAUCUUAAUUAAUAACAGUCAUGCCUAAACUUGAGAGAGAUUUCAAUUUUAAGAACUAGUCAUGGCAGAGCAACUAUUCAUCAUUUCUAUGUGAGAGCUUAUCAUGAGGGUUCAUAGCAAACUUUAUUUAUUUAUUUAUUUAGCAAGCUAAGCAAAGAUAUAUAUAAGCACAAAAUCUUUAUUUGGGUUUCUAUGAUUAUGCAUCUUUUUAUUAUUAGAUUAAAGUAUAAACGUGAGUAGAAUACUUAGCUGGAUAAAUGGGGGUGCUCUCCCCCAAGCUGGAUUUUGACGUAGUUUCUUCUAAUGUAGUUAGCAAGUGGUGAAGGUGUAUUUGAAUGUCAGCAGCACCCUGACAGCGAUUAGGAUGUCCUCCGUCUGCUAGUCUUCUUUGAUCCUUGAAUUCUGUGGAGCUCAAAUAGACAACAAAGCUUUGUGGAACUAGUUAAGUGUUAGCAUAAAUAUCUAGCCUUUAUGAUGUUGAGCCUCCUCAAUAAAUGUUACUCUCUUUAGUAGGAUCACAAUCUUAUUUAUAUUUUCAUUUUUAUAGGACAGGAAUAUAUAUUUAUUUUUACGCCACCACAGUGAAUGUACUUAUGGGUUUUAUGCCAUGAGCAUACUCACAUGGGGCUUACUAUUUUUAACAUUUUUAUUUUCUUUUUAAGAUGAUGUGAACCUGAUUAACUAAGCAAACUAUUUUAAAAUAAUUGAAAGGAAAAAGAUAACAACCAAGUUUACCUCUUGGCAAAGCGUUCGGUGUUUUUAAGUCCUCCGAACGGGACUCUCCGUUUUCUCAUUCGUCCUGGGAUUCGCUGGAUGGCGUAGUCGAUGGUUCCGGCGGCGCUUCUUCUUCAUGUAUAACUAUCUUCUCUCUACACACCUGACUCGGUGCUACGGUCUCCUCAGGACAGUUCUGUUCAAGUUGUAUGUCUUCAGACCUUACACCUUCUCCUUCAUAGUCUACCCAUCCGUCCUUGAUGAUUUACCUCCCCUGGUUGUGGUUGCGUCGUCGUCUUCUUGUCCUGACUUGCUUAGAGUCUUCAACUAUAUAGUUAGGGUCAGUAAAACAGUGGCGUACCUUCUCUGAGGGGAAGUGCAUGUGGACUUCUCUGGUUCCAAUGUAUAUGAUUGCUUUAAUGGUGCUAAAGAACGGUCUUCCAAGGAUGAUGGGUGGAUCGUACUCGUCUUCUCCCAUGUCAAUAACCUUCAAUCUUUCAGAAUGUCUGAUCUGCCAUCUGGAGCUGAAUGUAUGUUGGUUGUAGGGACAUGGUUCCAUGCAGGAGCUGAUAAGUGACUGUAGCCAUUAUGUUGACGUUAGAUCCGGUGUCGUAGAGUGUCUUCUGAAAAGAAUAUCCGUUGAUUGUGCACUCGAUGCUUGGGACACCAGGGUCGUCCUUCUUGAUCAAGAAAGGUGACUUGAGUUGACGAUCUUGACCUCCUUGAGCUGCAGUGACCAUCUUAGCUGACUCGGUACACAUUUGCUUGUUCUUAUUCCUCCUGUUGGUCCUCUUCCUUGGUUCAUGU